rnacentral:lncRNA from 1 species
UCUCGGCUUCUUUGAUCUUUCCACCCUUGCAAACCAAGCAGGAGUAGAUGAGGUGGCACCAUCCUACGACUGAGUUCCCACGUGCGAUCAGGUAACCGCAGUUCCAGACACGUGUACACGGCACUCGGGUAGUGAGAGCUAUAAAGCGACUGGUGAAGGCGGCCUGGACAUACCUUGUUCUCGCCCGCCUCCGCGCCUUCUUGUUCCUCUCAUUCGAGUAGUUGUGGCGUGAGAGGGGAGCCACAGGGAGAAGCAAUGGGGAGGCAGCCAUGCUGUGAUAAGGUGGGGCUGAAGAAGGGGCCAUGGACAGCAGAGGAGGACAAGCGGCUGAUCAACUUCAUCCUCACCAAUGGCCAAUGCUGCUGGAGGGCUGUGCCUAAGCUUGCAGGUCCUCCUCCCACUUUACAUGCCACUACAACACUGAUGGUGUCUAAUCUAGAUUUAAGAUCGUGUUGUUGCGACAGGACUUCUGAGGUGCGGAAAGAGUUGCAGGCUAAGAUGGACAAACUACCUCAGGCCUGACCUGAAGAGGGGAUUGCUGUCGGAAGCCGAGGAGAAGAUGGUCAUUGAGCUCCAUUCUAAGCUGGGAAACAGGUGCCCAUCUUCCCUGUUCUCUCCUUCCUUCUUUCCCUUUGUCAUCUUGUGGAUUCGACCGAUGCAGGCCCUUUGUUGGUUUCCUCAGGUGGUCUAAGAUCGCAUCCCAUCUCCCUGGUAGAACGGAUAAUGAGAUCAAGAACCACUGGAACACCCACAUCAAGAAGAAACUAAGGCGGAUGGGGAUCGACCCCCUCACCCACGAGCCCCUCAUCCCUUCAGCUAAUGAUCUCCUCCACCAGGAGCAGCAUCAAGUGGGUGCCUCGGCUGACAGGAGGGAGGGAAACGACAAGGUAUCAGAAGAGCAAGGUGAAGAAGAGAACAUCACAAGCGCAGUUGACGAUGCCUUUUGUACUGAUGAGGUGCCCAUGAUCCAGCCCCAUGAGAUGAUCGUCCCAUGUGCUUCCACCCCCUCUGCCUCAUUUUCCAUUUCUUCUUCAUCAUCAUCAUCAUCAUCAUCAUCAUCAUCAUCAUGCUCUUCUUCCUGCUCCUCGGUGAAGGCUCAGGAGAUCCAGCCGCCGUGCAUGGAGUGGCCGGAAUCAGUGUGUCUUUGGGGUUUGGAUGAACUGAACGGAUGGGACUUCAACUAUGCUCAAGGGGAUGAACAAUUAGGCCUUGAUCUUUUCACCCAGUGGCAAAGAACUGCUCUGGAUCAAGAAACCUGGAAAUUUGAGCUUUUCUGAUCUCAGGCUCCUUGGUUCUGUAAUUUGUGCUUGCAGAUAGAAUAAAGAGGAAACAGAAUGUGAUACCAAACUCAUUUUUCCUCCUCUUUUUUUUUCGUCUUUCUUUCUUUUUCCUGUUUGGUUUUCCUCUGUACAGGUUCUAAAGAACAUGUAGAGAUGAGCUUCUAGUUGAGGCUUCUCUCAGCUCAAUGCCAAAUGUUUAGACACGACUAUAAGUUUUGCUGAUUGAUGUUGUGGAAAUGACUCGUUUGAUGAAGAUGAGUAAGCAAAGUUCAUCGAUUGCUUAUUACUUCCUUGUAGAUUACCCCAUAUAUUUGACAGAUGUUGGUGCCACUUGCAUCAAUGAUAGGGUCAAUCAAUAAAAAUAAAAUAAGAUGUGAAAAGGACCCGAUACUUUUGACCUUUGCUUUAUGUUUCAUCAUCAUUCUAUCAACCUUCUACCAUCCAACAUCAGGUGGAAGAGAGGAGAGGAGAGAAGUAGCCAAGUAUUAUGAAGGCCACUCUCUGCCUCUACUUCUCUUCCACAUGAGUUUGACAUUCACAAGAAAGGUCAAUAUCAUCGAUGACAACAUCACUCAACUACAACAAAACCAAAGCCUCAGAGUUGACUUGAGAAGAUUCAGCAUAUUUCUGGAUUCAUCUUACCUUUGGACAUUUGAGACCAUGCAUUGGGAGUUCAAGCAUUCAUUGCGGAUGUUUCCAUGUGUUCCUUCCAGCCUUGCACCAUAUGCAGGGCACAUGAAUUCUAGCUAAACUACAAGCUGUGUGUUCCCCUUCUUACGCAUCCGUUCGCUGACCACUCUUAAAUGCAUCAACUCAAGUGAUGCUUCGUACCCUUUUUUUUUAUCUGUUCCACCUACAUUGCACCAAAGAUAUUUAAUUUACCUAUGUAAUCAGACAUUUCUUUUAAUGCAAUCAGGCAUAUUACCCUCAAACUAGCCCAGCUAGAACGACAAUGUGAUGAAUGAAAACUAAACUUAGCCACCUCAUACACAAACAUGAUAGACUUGUAAUGAUAUAAAAGCAAGUACAACGAAUAGAAGGUGACUCUAUUAAGAUGUUCCGAUUGAUUAGUGUAUUAUUAUACAAAUGAUAAGUCUUAUGCUUGAGUUCAUAGUCUAAUAUAUUGUGUCCUUUUCCUUCUUGUCAUUAUAUAUAUAUAUAAAAUUGAUUUCUGUGAGCGAGUUAUUAUUCAUAUGUUUCUACUACAAAUCUUCCUAUCAUUAUGAGAGCUCUACAAAUCACUUGGACACAAUAAAUCCACUUUCUUCUUGCAGCACUUAAUAUGGUUUGAAAUGUAAUGUUGGCCGCAAUGCAAAUUCUGACUUCAUAUUCGCUGCCACACCAAACAAAACGAGCAGAGGAACAAAACGAGGAAAGCAUUGACUUGACAUGCCGCUAAAAUCCAAUGGACUGCAGGAAGUCGACGUCAAAAUGGAUAGCUGACAUUUUGCUUCAGAGCGUUGCGUCUACAAGUUUUGACUCUCCAACUCCAAGCUAUGUAUCGAUCAGCUUCUAUCCCAUUGCUUUGAUACAACCGUGAGUUGGCAUAUAUCUACCAGAGACUGGCCAUCCUUAAUAUUGAAUCAUUCACACCGUUUCAAUCAACUGAUCGUUGAUGGUUAUAAGUACUCUGAGGUUAAGACUCUUUCCACAAAAUGGGAUUCCUUUUCUGUGUACAAUGUAACUCACUUAUAUUCUCCUAUAUAUUUUCUUGCAGUGUGUUUGCCGUGGAUUCUCCACUGACAAAUUUGACAUCUGAUAUGCUCUCUUACCAAGAAGACAUGUCGUCACAAACAGCUGUAUUCAAUUUGGAAUCUGAUAUUGAAAGCUUUAUCUUAGGUUUUAGGCCUCUAGACUUGGUGUCUCAUCUUUUCUCGUUUCCUCGUUCCCAUGGGGACAGCUCUAUCUCGGAGUUCGCACUGAGACUCAUGCUGCCACGACACGAUUAGGACAUCCAUGCCCGAGUCGACGAUGUUGAAGGAUCCGAAGUGAAGAUGUACACUCCCAUGGAUGAUGGGUCGAACGUAGGUUUGGAUCUCGGAGCUCCGAAUUGAGUACCCGCAACACUGCUCGACGAAGGAAGCGUCGUCACACAUGAAUCACCCAUGACGACACACGCACUCUUCGCCUACACAGAGCGGAUCACCGGCGGGCCCGUCUUUCCACCACUCGGCCACGCGCGGCCACCCAACAGACGACGGCAUGCAUGCGUCGGACGAAGCCGCGUCCCACUUUUAUCCCUCGGGCAUGCCCUACCAACCCUAAAGCUCACCCAACACACACACACGCACACCCCGACAUGCAUGACAGCGUCUCCCACUCGAUCAUAAUAAUAGCUUCUCUUUUAUCCCCCACGUACUCGCUGAGGAGAGAGCAGGCAUGAUGAGGCACCGGCGGAUGAGAGAGAAGCUGCGCCGUGAAGGGUUUACGAUGUGGAGGCAUGGGAACUGAAAGCUUGCAGUGAUGUACAUGUGGAUCAGACGUAGUGGGAGGUGGGCAGCGGGCGGUUCUCGGUCCCCUCACGGCCGGCAUCCGAAGCUUAAAAGCCUUUGGGAACCCACCUCCAAAGAAUGGAGUUAAUGGGAGCCACACUGCACACCGACACAGUAGCAGCUUAAUCGUUCUGGUUGUCGAUUGCGGAUGGAUUCACAUCCCUUCUUUAUAGGCUUCGGUGGACUCCAGAUCAUGUGAUCUCCAUGAGCUUGCAUUGCAGUACACAAUGAAGCAGGAGUGCUGAUUUGAUUCGACUUAUUUUUUUUUUUUGGAAAUUUUAGGUACCUCGAGAAUUGAUUUAUAGUAAUUAUUAGAUAGUUCUAAGAAUAUGACCCAUGAUCUAGAAGUUAUAGAGUAGUUUAUAUACCUAACUCAAUCAUGAGUGACAUGAUGGUAUGAGAUAGUUACCACUAGAUCCUAUAAAUAAGAUCAUAAUUCAUGAAGCAAGAUAAGGGAUAUAUACUUCAAAAUAUCUUGUAAGUAUUCUAUGUAUAUCGUCUUGUUUAAAUACUACAUCGGUUUCCUUGAUCGAAAAGAUUUUUCUUGAUCAUAAUUCAUGAAGCAAGAUAAGGGGUCUACACUUCAAAAUAUCUUGUAAGUAUUCUAUGUAUAUCCUCUAGUUUAAAUACUACAUCGGUUUCCUUGAUCGAAAAGAUUUUUUUUAAUUAUAUCGUAGUAUUCUGUUUUUAUCGUUUCCUUGUUCUUCCAUCCCUAACAUCUCGAGCAAUGCAAGAUCGUCGUCCAAACGUAAAUAAUCGAUAUUUAAAAUACUUGCGUGAAACGAAGGGAGAUGAAUAUACAAGAAAACUGUUAUGGGUUAGAUUCACAUAGAAUCCAAAUCCAAAUCCAAUAAGAUCACGAAUCCAAAAUAAGGAUCAUACACCAUUUAUUGAUCCAAGAUUCAUAUGUUAACUGAGAAAUAAUAAAUACACUCGAGAACACAAAGAAGAGGGUACUAAAGAACCCCAGUGGUACAACCUGAUAGGUAUCAUCAAAUGAGAUUGAGAGACACCGGAAGGGAAUUGGACUGAAAUCACAAACAUUACGAAUGUAUCAGUUAAUAAAAUAUUGAAAUUUAUUUAAUCUUUAGAUAGCAUACCAACGUUAAAUUUCAUGAUCAAACAAGUCAUGCAGUAAAUCCAAAUAAGCUCGUCGUGCUUUAGCAACUUGAAAUAAUAGAGAGAGCUGAUUAUUCCAGCAGAGAAUCCUGGUGAAGAAUAAGCAGUAAGCAUGAAAACAGAAAAACAGAGAAAAAUGUUAUUUCGAGUGCAGAAGUAAUAUUUGAUGAAUGAACAGUCAUUUUAGGUCACUACCGAAUGAAACUUUCAUGUUUGUCAUCCACAAUUGCUUCAUGCACUAAAGUUUGAGAGUACAAGGGCUUAACAGAGAUUACAUGUUACAGCAACUGUGACGAUUGAGCAACUUGAUGAAUACAGACUCUGCUGAGCAGGGCAAAAGGCAAUGCUUGAUGCUCAGAGAACUCGUCCCCAUAUAUCGAAUUAAAAAAGCAUGAUACAAGUAGGGCAAGAUUGAAUAAAUCAAUGGAAUACAGUGUAAGAAGGUAACUACUCUGAUCUUUGUAGAAUAGCUCGUAAUGGUAUAUUCAUCUAUAAUUACUGUUGAAACAAUGCCUCGAAUACCUUGCAGCUGGAAAAAGGACUCAAGAGGACCAAUGGUCAGGGACAGUAAGGAAGUAAUUUGACAUGGCUUUUCUGAAUCUUUUCUUGUACUGCAAUGGAGAUAUUACGGUUGGAGUUGCAUGUUUCGAGCCACCAAGGAUGCCAGAGGCUUUUACCCAUGUUUCAAGUUGCUUGUCCCAUGUAUACUGCCGCAUGAAGUCUAUGAUUCCUAUCACUAGCUCUUUGUGUGUCUCAUCGAUGCCGACCAGCAACGAGUAGUCCAUGACAUAAAUAGACUGCAAAAUGUGGAGAGAUAGGAUUAAACAAAAUAAUAAAAUAACUAUGUUUUUGGGACUUCCAAGUAUAGUGAACAAAAAAUUUCACCCAUCAGUGCAUAACCAUUGGUCUUUUUGGCCAAGAAACCAGAACUGCACGCAUAACAGGGUUCAAGUUGAAUGGUUAUCUCACUGAAGAUGAUUGUCAAAGAAUAAAACAGAAACUAGCAUAAGCCUCUCCUCUAAUUCAAUGAUGCUAGUUAAUCUGAAAUUUUUAGGAGUCAAAAGGGUUCUAAAUCUCAGACCAAUACCAGUGUUAACGAUACCUGUGUGACAAGCAACAUAACAACCUGUAAUGCCCGGUGUCAACCAAAGAAAUAUAAAGAAAUUAAAUACCAAUCAAUACCAGAUCAUAUGGUCUAAUGCUGGUCCUUACGUACUGACCAGAAUUUGAAUCAUUGGGAAUCAGAUUGUGUACGGUUUGGCAAGUCUUAUCAGGCAUGGUCUUUCUAGAAAGAAGAUAAGUCAAAACAAUUCACAAAUGUUAAUGAUCUAUCUCACAUAAACAAAAGAUUAAGAAUACUGAACACCUAUUUAUCAUCACAGUUAUCAUUGGCCAAUAUAAUAAAUCGGCUUACUUAAGUAAUGUGUAACUUUUCCAGUUAAUUGAUUAAGAAAAUAACAUAAGAACAAAGCCUAAAUAUUAAUUAGCUCUCAAAUUAAAAACCUUUUCAAAGUCAUGAGAGAUGAUUGGCUUUCUGCUGAAACUUCAACCUCCAAAUAGAAUUCUUUUCUUUAUAUGACUUUUCUAUUAGUCAACACAUACUCACAUGAUGAUCUGAAGACAUCGGGACCACCAAGGGGAUCAUUGCUAUCUUCAAAGCUUAACGGCUGGUUACACGAUAAAAGGUAAUUCAUACGUCUAUAGGAAAUAGGGAUGUCGUAAAAAAAUGAGAUAUCAAGAUUUUGUCAUCAUCCUGAUCCUCUCUCCAAAUAUAAUUAUUUUCUUUAAACCAAGGUAUGCAAUUUCGUACCGUACCAGAGUUUCGACAUUCGCUCGGUACGGUACGAAACUGUAUACCGCUCGGUAUAUAUAUAUAUAUAUAUAUAAGGCGACGUCGCGUCACCUCGGCGACAUCGCUGAAAAANNNNNNNNNNNNNNNNNNNNUAACGAGCGGUCCAUGUACCGGUAAGCUGACGGACCGGUACGUACCGCCCGUAUCGGGUGGUAUUAUUCGAAAUUGCAUACCUUACUUUAAACGUCCUUGUAUUACUGUACAGUUCACACAUGCUGACCUGGAUGCAUCGGGGCCACCAAGCUGAUCAUUGCUAUCAUCAAAGCUUAAUGGUUGGAUAUGUAUUUAAGGAGAAAAAGAAAAGUAAAGAUAAAAAAGAAACACCUACAGAGAGUUGCAUGGCACUGCAAGUAAACGAUAUUGGAUGUCAGCUCAAUAAGAUGGAAUUUAAUUCAUUAUUAACUGGUUAAAGAAUUAGGCAAGGUAUCUUAUGCAGAAACAACCAUAAGAUUAAUUAUGAGAAGAAUCAUAUGACUGCAUUAAUUAAGACCAUAUGUAUAUUUAGUUGUCACAAAAAAUAUAUGAUUAAGCAACUAAUAAGUGCUCAAACUAAUUGAGUAUACCAAAUCACAUGGGCAAAAUCCAUUUUGUAUAAUUUCGUACGAGAAGAAUUUGGCAUAGAUAUCAACAUAAGCUAGCGAAGACACAACAAUACAGUUUGAUUUCUGUGUCCAUAUUGCAAUUGCCUGCCCAAGAUAUCUUGUAAAGUUUCAAUGAGGCAUCUUCAAAUUAUUUGGCUCAAGUUCAAGAAGUCAGAUAUUUUAUGUCUAAUAAGUAUUCAAAUUAAGAAUAGUAAAAGAUUUUGUUUAUCAGAGUUAAGAUGAAACAGUUCGCUUACUGCAAGAAAAGAAGUAUCAUUCCACACAGCUCGCUCCAAUCUUCUCUUUGCCUUGCUUCCUAAAAAUAUUGGCUUUGUCUCUAAUAGAUUCAAAUCUAGUAGAACUGUAUUGUUUCCCGAGGAAUCAGGGUUAUAACGGCAGCGUAAUGAGCCUUUGAGAUCAUAAACUCUUGAAACAUUCCUCUUAAAAAAGAGAUUUUCCAUUACCAUGACAUCCAUUUUCACUUCCCUCCCACCUUUUGAAUGCUUGACAGCCACCUGAUACAGAAAAGAUGUAAAUAGCAAGAGUGAUUCUUUCACAUUAUAUGUUUGUAAACUGAAGUACGAUGGUAGCAGUUUCUAACCUGAUAAAUACCAAGGACUUUAGCAAGGCAGGUGGGACUACCAGAAGUUAUGGACUGUGUCAGAUAUUUGAAGUAUUCAAGAGCAAAAUCCUCAAAGGAAUCUAACUCUGUUUUGGUGACCUGCUUUAUGAUGAAUCUUUCAUCCAAUGACUUGGCAAAGUAAACAUUGCUCUUACCACCUUGUGCACUCCAUCUCUUGCAGCGGCUCAAAGAACGUAUAUAAUCCAAUUCGCUUGGGCAGCAUAUCUUCCUUAGUGCAUGAAAUUGCUUUGCAAAAUAACAUGUAACAGAAAACUUUGCCUUGUCUGAAGGAAUUGAAUAAUCAUCGUCAAAAGAAAUUCUGAAAUGUGUUUCCUUAGGAUCUAAUGGGUUCACCCGAGAAAGUUGAGGCUCAUCAGGUCCAACAUCAGAAUGAAACUGCAAAUUUGAUUGUUGAGUUGCUGCACCAACAAUAUUAACAACACUACUUCCUUUCCUCAACAUACAAGAGACAGUUUCAUCCAAACUAGGCAUUAUGUAGUCAUUAUACUCUUGGGAAGUUAUAGCAUAGGAUAUUAUACUGGUGGGUUCAUCAUCAUAAACUGCAACAACAAUAUCAUCAAGAGCAUUUUGAGGUAGAAGCAACCGUGCCCCUUCAGCUAUCUUUUCCAAAGAUGAUGAGAUACGUAGAGGUAUGUGAUUGAGAAGAUCAUCCAAUCUCUGAACCGUACUGGGAGAACUUUGUGAGUAGGCUCUUCUCAUGAUUGUAAUCGGAUCCUUUGGCAUACUAGCAAGACCUCCAGAGAAAUCGAAUGAUUUUGCUGAAGGCAAAUGCAGUGAAGCAGGAAGGAAACGACCAUGUACUCCUUUUCGAAAUCUUAAAGCAGAAUCAAAUGAAUAAACUCUUAAUGGGGACUUUAACCUACUGUAGCAUGGAUUCUCCAUCAAAGGUCCAGAUGUAUCAGCUUCUGAACCACCUUUUGGUUGAUCCGUCAUUAACUGACCCAAACCACUCCAUGCCAAAUCAAUUUUAUCUGAUAGACUAGACAAUGGUGAAGUUGAAUUCUCCAAAAAUGUACUUUCAGUGUCAUCAAAUAUUGAUGUAUCAUCCCAUCCAUCAUUAUUACUAGAAACAAAGUUAGAACUUGCUGAGCCUGCAAAGCCUUCGACGGAUUCAAUAGACAGGUCCAUUUCAACCAUGUUGUUUGUGUUACACUCCAUAACCCGCAAGCUAAGCUCUUCAUGCUGCUUUGAAAAACUAGAUUUUUGAGUUGCUGAAAAGUAGGAUGACUUGUCAGUAACUUCUCUUCCAAAUGUUCCAUCUUUCCCAAGCAUUUCUUCCCUCCAUUCUCUCAGAUUGGUUUUAGAUGAAAUAUCUGUAAGCUGUGAAUCAAUGAUGGUACGGCCUUUUUCUUUGGACAACAAUCCCAAAGAAUAGAGUCGACGAUCCCACGUGUAAGAAUCAAAUAGAAUUUCACGUCUCAACCGAUUAAGCUCUAAGAUGUCAACCAUUACCCGUAAAGGUUGAGUAUUCCCAACUAUAACUGGUUGAAGCAAGACCUAUUACCACAUAAGACAGAAACUUUGCUCAGUAUACGGAGUUGCCCUCAACAGAUUGUCACAAAACGUAAAAUCUUUAAGCAAACAGAAUCUUUAAAGCACAAGUGUUGUUGGACUUACAUCAAAAUCGUGUCUUUCCAUUUCAAGCAAUUCCUUCAGCUUUAUAAUGUGCCUAUGGAUGCUUGCCUUUAAAGGUUCAUCCUCAGAUGUCAUGAUCUUCCUCUCAGUUGCAUGGAGCACAUCAGAUAUCUUACCAUGCAAGGCAUUUAUUUUAUUGAAUACCUAUGUGAGUAAAAUCACAAACUUUUAUUACAGCAAUAAUAUUUGAUGUGCACAAAACUCAUUUGCAAAACCAAACAGCAUACCAGAACUGCCUCCGGUUUCAACCAUUCUUGCUGAAUUUGGAAAGUGAAAUCCAGAACUGACGGUGGUAAGCAAACAGAUAAAAUAUCCACAGGAGAAUAGUGAAAGAAGGCAACCAUGCUUCCGAACCUGCCACAGGAAAAGGAAUGAAAUUGAAAUUUGCAUUGGAAGUUAACCAAACAGGAGACUGGAUAAAUCUUUAUCAUCAGAUAUUGUAUACCCAUAAAACCGAAGGCAGUCUCUCUGUAGAGAGUGACCACAACUUGCAACUCGGUUAGCAGUUGCAUGACUCGAAAAGCUAAGCUCCAAAAAUUUCCCAAAAGAAAGCCCCCAUGCAGCAUCAGACAUGAUUACUCUGCGUGCGGCUGGAGGAACUCCAUCCUUAUCCUUUUCACACCUGAGGCAUCUGUGCCACAUCCAUAUCCUCCCAUCACGUUCACCAGGCAACUUCAUGGAAGGAAGUCGCCUGACCAUAAUAGUAAGGCUGCCCUGCUGGUGAGUAUAACACCGAACAUGGGAUUCUGUUGGCUCUUUACAAGAUUGACAACAAUAUGUCUGACAUUAAUGAGAGAAAAUAUAGUAUAUCAGAAUCUGGAAAAGGAAACAUAUAAGAGGGUUACUCAUAUUCCAUUGGCACAAUAAAUUACCUCAUUAAACAAGUCACCACGAAGAUAUCUCCCCAAGGGCUUAUCGAAGCUACCAUAAAAUUUGAUGCGGAAAAGUUGAGAACGCUCACAAACUCUACUCUUUUUAAUGCAAGUGCUUGAUAAGGAAACCAAUAUGCUCUGAUGAUUGUCUGCAGCUGAGAAGUAGUCUCCAGGAACGUCAUUCUUGAUAGCAAUAUCUGAUUUUUUAUGUUCAUCAUCUGAUCUAAGUCGGUCACUAGCUAAGUUGCUUCUUUCUUUUACUAAUUUCUCCAGCACUUCAUCUUGGUGAUUGUUCAAUUCAAUAGGAAAAGGUGGAAAGGAAGUGGGCUCAUUGCAAUAAAACUCAAAUCUUGAACCUGUUGACCCACAAUAGCAAAUAUCUGAAGUAGAUCUAAAAGCAAUGCCCCCGCUGUUUUCAGAAUAUGGAGCAGAAAAGCCAUCAAUAUCGUGAAUGCUGGUAUGCUCAAACAAAUUAUUGUAUUUUUGUUGUUCAGAACUAUGCUCCAAAACAUCUUUAUUCAAAUGCAUAAUAUCUGAUGAUAUAGCCUGGCUCUCUAUGUCAAGUUUGCCGCAUGACCUAUCUUUCUCAUGACUGUUACCAACACCUUGUUCAGCAAAGGCAGCCAAACUAGAAGCUGAUGAGACAAAGUCAUCAGCCUCAGUAAGCUUCAUAGGCAAGGUAACUGGAGGCCCUAUAGGAAGUUUAGGAAGUGAUGCACCCUCAUCUGCAAGGAAUGAGGUCUCUAAUGAAAGAUGAUAUGCUGCAAAGCUUGCAUAUUGAACAACAUGCUUUAACUUUUUCAAUUCUUCAAGGCAUGCUCCCCUUAGAAGAACCUACAGAAAUUACUAAGUUAACAUGAAAAAAUAAAGAACCCCAAUAACAAAAUGCAAAAGUACAAGAAUUAUCCAGUUACUAUUAACCACACUACCACAAGAUCAGUCAAGCUUGUAUUAUCUUCCAAAUUUAGGCAACAUAUAGGACACAUAAAGACAGCAAACUCCUAGAGAUUAAUCUGUAUAAGCACAAAAAUGUAAACAAUCAUAUAUGUAGAAUGAACAACAAUGUGAACUAUACAUGUUAAUUUACCAGCUGAAAAUAAGCAAGCAGUGAUGACAGCACCAAAAAACAUGUCACUGUUUUUCCAUCACAAACUUGUUAACAAAGUCAAGAUGGCAAUGGGGCAAGCCUGUACUAGACUUACUGAAAUUCAUCUGCUUGCUUAUUUUCAGCUGUACCCUCAUCGGCAAGGAAUGAGGUCUCUAAUGAUAGAUGAUAUGCUGCAAAGCUUGCAUUUUGAACAACAUGCUUUAACUUUUUCAAUUCUUCAAGGCAUGCUCCCCUUAGAAGAACCUACAGAAAUUAUAUUAAGUUAACAUAGAAAAAUAAAGAACCACAAUGACAAAAUGCAAAAGUACAAGAAUUUUCCAGUUACUAUUAUGCCACACUACCACGAGAUAAGUCAAGCUUGUAUUAUCUUCCUAAUUUAGGCAACAUAUAUGACACAUAAAGACAGAAAAUUACAAAAGAUUAAUCUGUAAAAGCACAAAAAUGUAAAAUUUACAAUUUACAAUCAUAUAUGUAGAAUGAAAAACAAUGUGAACUACAUAUGUUAAUUUACCAGCUGAAAAUAAGCAAGCAGAGAUGACAGCAACAAAAAGCAUGCCACAGUUUUUCAGUCACAAACUUGUUAACAAAGUCAAGAUGGCAAUGGGACAAGCCUGUACUAGACUUACUAAAAUUCUUCUGAAUUGGGCUUACUCAACUUAAGAUUUACCAUCUAACUUAAGUGAUGAUCCUUUAAAAUUAUUCUACCAUAUCAUGCAGUGAGAGAUGUGAAUAACCAUGGAUGCAUGUAUGGUCGAAUCCCUUUCGAGGAAGCAGUAACUAAAUCCAGUUUAUACAAACAGCUAGAAUCAUGCUGAACUGAGUAGCAGCAAAGCAUGAGGCAAAAGUAGACAAAAAGGACCAAGUGGGGAAGGAGAAAAACUAAAAGAAACUAGAAAGAAAGGAAGAAAGAUUUAUGGUUAUUAAACAUAUCCCAGACCCCUUGAUAUCUGCCCUCAAGAAUAUAGAUUCACUAAACGUUGGAUUACUGAUGCAAUGAAAAGAGAGCAGAAGAUAGUGUAAACAUUAAAGGUAACACAUGAUGCAAGUCCAAGAUUCAACCGGAAAGAUGCAUGUCUUGGUUCAAUAAGAUCAACAGGCUCAGCAAGAACAAAAAUGAACUUUAUGUACAUAUCAUAAAGCGGACCAUCAAACGACCGUCUCACCACUACCUCAUACAUUAAACUAAACAACAUGUCAGCUUUAUAGAUUUAAGCAACUGAGUAUACUAAUAAAAAGGAGAUGCAUUUGCAGAGGCUUUAAAGCAACCAUUUAUUGUUCCACAUUGGAAAAGCAAUCAUUGCAGCUAGUGACGCAUUAAAUUUGCAUUUAGGUUACAUAAUCAGUGCAACAAGAUGUUAAGGCAUGUUAUUUUGUAAUCAAUUCCUACAAUUUCUUGACCAAGUCAAAAGGACCAUCAUUUCAAUGCAUAUAAAUUGUGGGCCGGAUAAGGAAGUGACAUUUGACAAGUUAGAGAAGAUCAAUCAAGUCUUUCAAUACUUUCGCAUAAAUUAUUCCAGUCCAUGUCCACUCGAAUAGGAAUGCAUAGAUAAGGAUGUCUUAGCACACAGAUACUUGAUCGAGUACAAAUAGCACGUAAAACUAUUUAUUACCGUGCACCCUAAACGUCGUGGGCAGCCUUCAAAAAACAUUAAAGUUUUACUGGGCCUCUUCCGAUGUUUGGAAGAUGAAGAUUCUUCAUACACUUUUUCUAUCUGAAACAUUUCACAGUGUCCAAGCCUUGCUGAAGCAACACUAUCAAUGGAUGGAACAAUCUGAGCACCAGUACAUCGUGAUAUCCUCUCUAAAAGUGACCUCUUGACAUUUAGCACUAAAGAUAUCUCUUUUUUCCCCAGCAGAUACUCUUGAGCAUAUGAGGAAACACUUCUUUCAACAAGAAGCACAUUGGGCCGAAGUGCCUCUAUCCUAGAAAGAGCUAACUUCAUGUAAUUGGUUUCCUGUAUGCCGAAAUAGAGUCAAAAUUAAUGGAGACAACAAAAAGACAUAAGAAUUCCAAAGGCCAAGGCUAUAACCUGCUCAAGUAGAGUUCCUAUAGAUGCUAAUCCGCUUGGAACCUUUUGAUACUCCAAUGCUCCACCCAAAAGAAACAACCUAGGGUUUCUAUGCCUCGAGACCAUGCGUUUGUGUCUCACAUUCUUAGUACAAACUACUCCCUUCACUAGGGUACUGUUCAGGUUAUGAGCAAACAUUAGUCUACGGUUACAAAAGAAAAAGAGGAUGGUAUCUUCCCAACCCACCCGCAGAGAAAAUAGCAAAGGGAAAUCAUACCUAUCAUUUGGAUUUCCUGAUGCUACACACUUGACUUUCACAUAAUCACCUGGAUCCAUGCUACCACCUUUGCUAGUAUCUGGUUUGACAAAAUUUGCAGCUUGCCAUGCCAGUGAGGAUACUAUCUCCAGCCAGUCUGGCCCCUCUAAGUCAACCCCAGAAUGGACGCCUUCUCCCUUCAAUAAUUGUGACACAAGAGCCCUAAAAUGUGCAUGAACAGCACUCCGCAAAGCCUCCUUGUGGGAUUCAUUAGACUUCUCUUUGGUCUGCAUUGGGUCACUACUGAAGCUACUAGAUUUAAAGAGUUUAGCCGACUCCCCGACAUCAUCAUCCUCGUCAUUAAAUCCAAAGAAACUGGUUUCCAUAUCAUCCUGUUCAUCCUCAGGGAAUGGAGGGUCAAAAAUACAAUCAUUUUCAAAAUUAAAGUUUUGCGUAGCCAUUUGACUUUCUUGAUUCCGGGAUCCCAGGAAAUUGCCAGAGAUAUCACCAGAAAUCUCUGGCAAUUCCUCACAAUCUGCUCCAUAUUUUUUCAGCUGCCCUGGAGAGCCUUGAUCUGGGAGGCCACUCUUUCCCAAGAAAGAACUAACCAACCCUUGUUCAACAGGCCUACAAGGGCUAUCCAAAGGACUUGAAUUUGCUGACCUGAAGUACAAAUCAUUUCCAGCACAAAUGCUCAUGGAUUCUAUGUCAGAGGGAUCUCGAGAGAACACACUCAAUGGGGUGAAAAACUGCUUCCCCUCAUCAUCACCCUCGUCUUCCUCGUAAUUCCUAGAGUUACAAGAAAACAGGACAAAAUCUGAACCAACCAACCAUAUCAUGGAGAAUAAAAGACUAGCUAUAAAAAGUCGGUGAAUUACCUAUUAGUCGAACAACGAAGAGGGCGCGGAGAUGAUAACUCUCGCAACUCCGAUUGGCCGAGCCUGUCAGUACUGGAUCUGGAGAGUGGCGACUUCGGUGAGACAAAAGGAUAAAUUUUGGCGCACGUGCUGCUCCGCUGCUGCGCUGCGUCCCAAGGUCCAUUGUCACCUCGAAAGCAGAAGUUACAGAAAACGGGCUUCUGCUCUGCUCGGUCCGGCACCGGAGAAGCACCGAGCAUACACUUACGGCAGAGCAACCGGCCACAACUUUGGCACCGGUAGCCGAACCCCAAUUCUCUGCACUCGCAGCACGUGACAGGAUCACCGCCGGACGACAUCAAAGACUCCGAUAAGACGUCCAGUGGAAAGCUCAACCAAGAUCUGACCUUUAGUAUCAAAUCGAGAAUCGGGUAGUUGACUACUCCCAUAAACAGGAACCGCUCGCAGUCAUAAAAGAAACCUAGCAGCUCCCCUUCCCUCCGUAAACUUUUCCUAUUUCCCUGUCAAGAUCUCUCGCAAACUCCAAACGAGAAGAGAUCAUACAAAAACCAAAAAAAAAAAAAAAAAGGCAAGCCUUCCGGGUUCUUCGGGUCCCAAAAAUCAAAGAGAGGCAAGCACGAAGCACAACAAUCAAAAGCCAGAAAAUCCACACCCUGCCGAAGAGACCAAAAUUUUCUCUAACCGGCAACCGGAUGGUAUUAUGUACAAAAACUUGAGACACAAACGCAAUCCAGAUUCCUCCAAAAUCCAAUGACUUUUAGCAGCACUAAGCAAGGCCGUAAAGGAGCCACAAAGCCAAUCAGCCGAUCCCCGAUUGCUCUGCGGAGACCCCGGUGGGGAUGUUUGACCAUAAGAAGCAAAAGGCGGGCGGCACCUUUGGAGCUCGAGCAAGAGGAAGAGAGCUAAAUGAGAGGGACGAUGAGGAAGAGGAGGAGGCGGAGGAGGGUGAGGGCUCCGGAGGAGCAACGGAUCUCGGCGGCAGCGGGAGAUCCCAUCGUCGGCGAGGGCAAUCUCUUCUUCUCCUGCGGGCAGCUGAGUGCAAGUACAAUUAGAAAAAGUUAAAAGAGUGGGGGGGUGAUGGGGGAAGGAAAGCUUUCUUAAAUGAGGGGGCAGAUUUAUAGUACAUUAAAAGCUAUUCGAGGAGGGCUUCCGAAUGCAUACAUAGUGUUAAGUGGAAUCAAAGGGAUUAAGUUGGGCGUUCGUAGUCGUUGCAGCGGGAGGAGGACGAAGGAAUGAGUCGGAUAGAGAUCAAUACGAUAUAAAAAAAGGAAAAAGAGAAUGGUGUGUGUGUGAUGGGGUCAAAGAAAGGGGUGAGAAUUCUACUGCCGGCCAAAUUGGUCACAUGCGUUGAUCUAUUGAGGGAGGGAUUUGAAUUUGAUUUGGGUUCGGGUGUGAUUCUUGAAUUGCGGGCUCAAACUGUUUGGAUCAAGUUAGGGUUAACCUCAUUGGGAACUAAUAAUUUGGGUCGAAUCAAUUUGGCAAGUAGGUCAAAUGUCCCCUAUCCAGCUCUAUUAACCCUAAUAAAUCUCUGACUUUUGGCAAAUCCUUGUACACCCAAUUUCAACUUAAGAAAAAAGAUUUAUAUAUAUAUAUUUUGAAUUCUGUAGGUUUUAUCUCAAAUUCCCACAGUUUCCAAUUUUGACUUUAAGUUGACACAAAGUUAAGACUUGAAUGUAGUAUCUAUCUAUCUAUCUAUCUAUCUAUCUAUCUAUCACAAGAGUUAAGAUAUUAAUUAGUGCAACAAAACCACUGCUUUAAUGCCACCAAAUGAAAGAAGAAACCACAUGAAUGAAACUCGCUGCGCUCCGCCGCGGUUGCUGUAAUCGGUCAAUUGUUUGGAUAUUAUGAAGCAUUCGAGUAUGCUUUUAAUGGUUAUCCAUUAAAUAACGAAUAUAAUAUUGAAGUUGAGAUCACAAAAAAUGAAUGAAUUCCUUAGCUUUUCCUCCUAUCCAAUUUAGAUAUGACGAGAAUGAUUCGCCUUUAGUUAAAAAGUAGAGCAAAAAAAACCUUCACUUACUUUGCCUACACAUUCCUUCACUGUUUUAAUGAUUUCAGUAAUGACACCAAGAUCGAGUGGUGAUGGCAUGCAUCAUUUUCUGGGAUCCUCGGUGAAGGAAAUGCGAGAAGAUAGCAGCACAAGGUCGCAUCAUGGCCCCCCUCCCCAACUCUGCGAGGGAAAAAGUGGGGAGGAGUUUGGCCUACGGACGCAAGGAGGUUUACUAUAAGUUGCUGACCAUGCAUGUGAGGUGGAGGAAGAGAGGACCAAGGAGGGAGGCGCCGCCCCAAGCGCCACCGCCCCUCUUUUCUUUGCCUCUUUUCCUAGCCCUGAAUCACCCACCACCACGUGAAGUGGGAGGUCGUCGCAAUGCGUGCAUGUAUGAGAAACAAUAGUCUUGUCAAAAUAAGCAUACGUCUUUCGACUUCAGGACAAACAAAAGCCUAUCAUUUUUUAAUGAUAAAUUGUUUUUGUAUUAAUUAAAGUUAAAAGUAAUUAUAUAUAGAAUUAAACUUCAAUACAAUCUACAAAUUAAGACAACUCGUAUUACCAAAAUAUUCCUGUGUAGAAAAAUUAAGAUAGAAGGAGAAAUAAAAAAAUAAUCUCACGUUCACGGCGACUAAUCGGAUGACAUAUACUCAGUUUAAUCAGCAUAACAAAUAAAUUUAUGCUAUUGAAUGAUCAAACCUAAUAAGUUUGUAGUAUUAAAUCGAAUUGGUGUCUCGUCUUGUUGUUUAUGUUAACAAUUACUAGUUUAACUCAGUUUUAUCAUUAUUGUUUUUAACAAAUUAAUAUGAUAUUAAAAUUAAAGUUUCUAAGAAUUUUUUUUUUAUAAAUAGAUGUUAGUCCUAUGUGAAAGUGACAAAUAAAUUAAACUAUUGUUCAAUUUAUCUUUACUAAUAAAUUGAACAUCUCCAAUUAGUUUCAUAUCAAAAAUGGAUAAAGAUUAAUAUCAAUUAGUUUCAUAUCAAAAAUUUAUUCUUUAUAAAAAAAAUUUAUCUUUGACCAAAUAGAAAAUGAGAUAUACAACAUAUAAUCAUGAGUAUUAAGGUGAUAAAAAAAAAUUUGAUGAUAUAAGGUAGUAAGUAGACUUUCAUUAAUGGGAAUAGUCUUACCACAAUAUUCCAUCAGUUAUUUAAUUUAUCUAUUUGAGCAAGCUAAUUAGGCUCCCAAUAAAGUGGGUGGGUGGCCCUUAACCAAGGGAAACAUGGUCUUGAGGCAACAUGAUUUAUUAUAAGGUAUGGGACUCAAAAAGAAGCACAUCAUCACCUCUCUCCCUACCAAGAAGAAGAAAAAAAUAACAAGAAAGGACAGUAGCACCUGAGGAACAAAUGCAGCUUUUACACACAUAUAUAAAUAAAUAAAUAUAUAUAUAUAUAUAAGUACAACAUGAAUUAAAGAAAGCCAGAGUGAAAUCAGAACAUAAUCUAGUGGCACAUAAAUGGACAGAAAAGGUCUAUGAAAAGGUGGAUUCCACUGUUCACCAUCACCUUCUCAUGUUGUUCAAGGACAUUCUUGGGACAAGCCAUGGAAAAUUUUAAGGCUCACAGAGGCAUAAGAAUGUACUACUUUAGAAGUAUAAUAAUAAGUUGAUGAAUAAAGUUAUAUAUUUUGUUUGUGGUAGUGCAUGGAUGAAGUGUGUCUCUCGGAAGGUUAAUAAAAAAAAUGCAUUUGAACUUUCAUUUGUAAUUAGGGGUUGAAAAUUAUUACUAUAUUUGAUAAUUAUUAAUGAAAACACCAUAAUAUUUAGCAACUGUUUUUAAUUAAAUGUUUAGAAAUAGCACACAUGAUCCUAACAUAAAAGGAGCAUUAGUUAAGAAUUAGCUCAAACUGAAAUAUUUUGGUAUAAAUUCAAUCAAAAAUAUAGUAUUUUUAUAGUAUGGACCUUUUUUUUAUGUGUUAUCAGUCUAUCAUGAGAAAUAAAUUAAAUUUUAAAAAUUUAAAAUUAGUUAACGAUCAUAAUACGAUGAUGACGACGACGACAUUAAUCUGACAAUGCAUCGACAUUAAAAUAACAUAAAGAUAAUAAUAUUAUAGAGAAAAUCAUGUGAGAUUCGGGAAUAAAAUUUUCAUAAGAAAGAAAAACUGAUAGAAGAAAGUUUAGAUAAAAUCAAAAGAGAAAAACAAGACAUAAAAAAAAAAGGCUUUUUUUUGUUUGUCUGUGUUUUGACCACUCAAUGCAAAAGGCCAGAGAAAACGAGGUGGCAUUUGGUUCAGAAAAAUCAAGAUCCUUUGGAUCAUUUCUUAAAACUCAAGCCAUUUUUCCUCUCCGAUCUUUCCUACUACACACGUCGUGACUGAAAGUGACAUGAUCUCUUCAAUUAGCAUCCUUCCGAUUCCACAGGUUCCUGGGAAAGGAAGAACGAAUACAGACACUCUGCAUGCAUGGAUGAUAUGGGGCUGCAUACGAAAGAGUAGGUAGGAGGAGAGCAGAAGAAUCCUGUGCUUGUCAAACAUAAUUGACCCCCAUCCCUCCUCCACCGCAUAUCCACCUGUACUUGAAUCAAAAACUCCUACACCAGCUUAUUUAUUUGAUGGAGUCCUGUGGCGUCGCCAUCAAUCUGUCCUCGGAGGAAGCAAGAAGACGCAUCUCUCUCGCCUGAUAGCUUUAAAUACUUCUACGUACUGUUUGAUGCAGUAGUAAUGUGCACACCAACCGUCGCAGCCUUCGCCUUUUAUGAGACCGAUCCGAUCAGGUCUUGACGAGGAUUGAUUGCUGCCCCUCCCCUCAUCUCUCUCUCUCUCUCUCUCUCUCUCUCUCUGUGGUUUGUUUGUAGAGGUAAUUAAAGGCCAGGCUUCACUUGCAUCAGCCCUUUCAUUAGAUCCUAUUAGCUCUUAUCACCAUGUAAAUAAUAGAUUUUUGGCCUUUUCCGGAUUGAUAGAUACACUUCAUUUCUAUUUCUAUUGUUCCCAUCAUUGUCUCUAUUUUUUUUAUAUCUCUAAAAUGUUUGUGACAAGAAUAAACCAAUACUAACGAGAAAAAAAAUAAAACAAAAAUAGAUUUUUGUCAAUGAAUCCGUCGUUGGGCCAAAUUGUGAUAGCGAUUAGAAUCCCAUUCAACUCGAACAGCGCCGGCCCGCAACAGGAACACGUCACUGUAACGUUUGCUUGCCUCCUAUUGCUGACAACCAUUGUCUUGGAUGGUGCAAGCACCUUCCUCUCAGCAUAAAGUUAUCCACGACAUUAAUGUACCACCAAUCGAGUGGGCCAUUCUGAUUCAUCUUAUUUAAGAUGAAGCGAUAUGAAGCACAAAAUGUGAUGCAGGGAACAAUUGUAAUGGCUGGGAAGAAGAUAAACAAUACACCAAACCUAACUUCAUACUCUGACAACGAAAACACACCGUCGGUUCUGCGAUCAAACUUUUUACGUGGCAUUCGGGGCAGACGAAGCCGACGAAGCAACCCCUCGAAAACUGCAGUCCAUAUUAUCCGCAUUGUGUUAAUUAUUUAGUCCACCACCGUCCGCAGUAGGCAAGGAUGAAUGCGACGUCUUCAUCUGCUACCUAACGCCACAGAAUAGUUGCAUGAUAAAGUCCCGACUACACGCAUCAGCAAUGAGCAAAGCAGUUCACAUUUUGCUUUAUUUAUUUGGUGAGCACUUCAAAUGGUAAAAUAUACAUGAUAAUUUUGUUAAAUAAAAUAUAUUAUAUUUUGAUUUUGAUAGGAUAAAAUUUUCUAAUCAAUUAUCCUAAAUCUUUUAUUUUUACAUAUAAAUAAACAUAAUCUCUUUGAGACCGAUCGUGAAGGAUCGGAAGAAGAAAGAAGAAGACGAGUCUGAUUCUUUUUGUAAAUCAACAUUGCUAUGUUCUACGUAGUACAUUUUACGAAUCAAAUAAAGAUAUUUUGAACGACAUCAAAAAGUAGUAGGAGUUGGGCUUUUUCUCUCCUGCAUGAACCUAAAGCAGAAGGAGUUGGGCUUUUUCUUCCAUCUAAUAUACUUUUGAAUGUUGGGUUUGGGUUGGAUUCCCAUCCAUGGCAUGGCCUGCAAUAUUAUUACACCUUUAAGCUAAGUUUUGCAUAGCUCGAGCCACAAAAUGUUGGCCGAAGACUAUUCUAACAAUGUGAUUCAUCGAAGCAUGAUCUUAAGACAUUCUACGUACACAAUAAUCUCACAUUGCUGUGUGGCAAUCCACCAUCUGUCAACAGAGGUGCAAGACAUAUAAGAACAGCCAAUAUUUUAAGGAUUAUUUAUACCAACUCUUUUUUCUUUUUAAAAAGUACUAUUCUGUCGAUUAAGAUUUUGAAUUGGAUGAACGAGUCAAAUUAGGAUUGACGUCUUCUCUAUUGAUAAUUUCUUACCAGUCGAUUUCUCAAAGUUCCUGUUUGCAUGUCAGUCAAAUGAUCAACACCAAUGCAAUCCUUCAAUGUGAUUAUAAUGAUAUAUUUGUAACUUUCAACUUGUAUCUUAAACAUGUAUUGCACUUAGAUUUAGAAGGAUAAAUAUUUAAAUCAUUGACUUUGGAAAGAUUUAUAUACAAUUUUGUCUAAAAGGUAGACUGAUUGUUUUAGAUUUAUGUGAUUUAGUACUCAUUGUCUGUAUUCAUUGAUUAUACACUGUACAAACAAUAAAAAGACAUGGAGGAUAACUCUUGUUUGAGUUUACUCAAAUCUAAACUCAUAAAGCACUUUGUUAAGCUCUCACAGAAGAAUCGUUCCUCAACAUCUCCGGUUUUGCGAAAGAAACAUUGAGAGGAUUAAUAUCCUAAAGAUUUAAGAUGCAUAGGGUAUUUAUUUAACAAAUAAUCCUUGACUUUUAAAGAUGUUUUAAUUCAAAUAAAAAUAUUUUCAAAUUUGAAUUCACUGCUAAUAGAACAGAUUUGUCCUCCAAAGAGUUACCCAAGUUUUUCUACAAGGAAAGAUCUUAUUAAUUAAGGAUUUUAAAAUAGUUUCCAAUCCCAAAGCAAGUAAUCUAAUGUUUAGUUUAUGAUUUCUUAAUUGGAUAAAAAAGAAUAUUGAAAAUUAGCAUUUUUCUAGUGAUAAUCCACAUCUUGAUAUAGUGAAUGCAAAAGAUGCACUCACAGAACUUGUGAUGGGGACCUGAAAGGCACUGGAGAAAGAUGAGACCAUGGCUGGUGAUGGAGCUCACGAGAGCCAUGGCUUCACGCUCCAAGACCGGGAAUUCUAGGAUGCUACCAAACUAAGUCACAGACAAUGAUGAUGGGAAUCCAUGGAUACUGACACUGUUCGUAUAGGACCGGGAUCUACCAGCUUCGUUUGGUUAAUGGUGUCGCAGACGAUGAUGAUGGGAAUGAAUCCAUGGUCCUCUUAAGCCACAGUAUGGGCUGGAGCUCGACGUCGACGUCGACGUCGCAACGAAAUCUCUCACUGUUAAACUCUGGGAACGCAGGAGAUAACUCUAAAAGCCUUAUGAUCAUGUUAUUCCCCAAAAAGAAAAUUCCUUCGAUGCUUAUGUUACUAUCUAUCGGAAUGAUAGGAUAGAAUCUCUCAUGAUAUGAGCUCCACACCUAAGCUCCGUAUCAGCAUGUUUAGUUAACCUGUGUUUAGCCCUUUGCCACUCGCUACGCAACCCGUAUCGGAGUGGGUAAACCAACAGCAGAUGCUAUUUCACAGUGAACAAAGAGAGACCUAUUAUUGCAUGCAAUAUCCAUCCAUGGAUGCACACAAGAGAGCAACACUAGAUCACUUCUUUUACCUCGAAUCAAACAUCCACAUCGGCACAAGGGAGGGAGUACAGCUCCUUCUAGAUCGGUCAGCUAACGUGGCUCGCCACAUGCCUUACUCUCUUCUCGCUCCUGACACACAAGUCCUCAACAAGAAUACAAACCCCCCCAUCUUCUAUGGCCCUCGAGGCCGAGACUUUUAGCUUGUUUACAGUCGAAGUCUUCGUUACGCUACUGAUCGAAUUCCAGCAAAGACCUGCUCGAUGGGUGGGUAAGUGGCCGAACCGUAUCAGCUCAUGGAUGCCAACUCAAGUUUCCAACAGAGGAGGCGGUCCACCCAUUCUUUGACAUACCUCUCAGUUCUCCAACCCUGUCGGAUUUCCAAGAGUUAUCUCAACAGGGAUAAGAUCGUAUCUAGCUGACUCAAAGCAAGCUAAAAGUAAUCUCUGAAAUAACUCCUCGACGAGGAAAAGUCCAGUCUCCUCGCACGGUUCCAAAACUUUUCUCCUACAGCCACAAUUCUACACACCACCACGGAGAAAAAUGCAACCUUUUGCGUUGUUCCCAUCCGUGAGCGACGUCGACGCUGAGAGACUUGCCCAGGGGCCCACCUAGAGACGAGGAAUUAUUGCUGCGGUCCCAUUCGGGAGCGGCGACGGCGAGAGCUCCGGUGUGGGCCCCGCCGGGAAAUCUGGCCUCCGGCCAAUGGGAGUCGGAAGAAGAGGAUGCCCUUCUUCUCCGUCGGCCAAUGGCGUUGCAGAUAAGGUCACGGUUGUGGGCCCCAGCCAUUGGAAAAGAUCAAGGCGCCGUGGGCCCACCGUCGGCCCAAAAGUGCACCUCCGAUGGCCCACCUCAUCCUUCUCAGUACAGUUUGCCUCUCUGUUAGUCUUCUGCAGCUCCCAAAACAUACGAGCAAGAGCUCGUGUGAUAUUUAUCAGCUAACGUCUACGAGAACGUUGUGCCUCUUCUGUCCACCUUAGUAGCAAGUGAUGAGCCACUUCGAGAAGCAAAGGUCGCCCGAGGUCGUGGCGUCUAGCGCGGUGGCCGGGAAGACCGCCCGUGCGUGCGACGGGUGCGCCCGCCGCCGCGCGCGGUGGUACUGCCCUGCCGACGACGCUUUCCUCUGCCAGAACUGCGACUUCUCCGUCCACUCCGCCAACCCCCUCGCUCGCCGCCACCGUCGCGUUCGUCUCAGAGCCGCCGACGUGGAUUCGGAAGAGUCGUCUCCCUCUUGGCUCCGGGGAUUCAAGCGCAAGGCCCGGACCCCCCGCGCGCACCAGCAUGAGAAGACGACCUCUGGAGCGCGGAGACUGCGACCGACGACCGUGCCGGAGCUCAUCGAGACAUCGGUCGAUGAGACCGAGGAGGAGGAGGAGCAGCUUCUCUACUGCGUCCCGGUGGUCGACCCGGCCCUCGCGGAAUUCUGCUCCCCCCCCAUGCUCGACGACUCGAACACUUGUUCCGGCGACGAAACUAAGCCGACGAUGGAUUCAACAGACGGCACCCCUGCGUCCACCUCCACCGUGGAUACCGCUAAUAGGCUGGCCCCGUUCCUACCGUCGGUCACGGAUCUCGCGGAGUUCGCAGCCGACAUGGAGAGCCUUCUCGGUGGAGGUCUCGAUUCGCGCGACGGCUCCUUCUCGAUGGAGAAGCUCGGGCUGGUAAACUCGAUGGAAGACAACGUCGACUAUUGCUUGGACAGUGCCGGCAGAUUGAAGACGGAGCAGCCGGACGAUACAGAACAGUGCCCAGUCGAACUGGACAUCGACAAGUCGAGAGAGACGCUGGAGCUGGACCUCGACUGGCCAGGGUCGUCGACAGCUAAAGAGGAGGAACUCGAAGAAGAGAAUAUGGAGGUGGCGUCGGAGCAGCAACAAGUGACAAAGAAAGCCAAAUUAAGACUCGACUACGAAGCGGUCAUAUCCGCGUGGUCGAGCUAUGGCUCUUCACCAUGGACCGACGGCGAGCGGCCACAGAUUAAUCUAGACUAUUAUUGGCCCGACUACAUGGUAAGCUCGGUAACACCUUCACUGAAAGAGAGUUACACAUCGCUUAUCGACUGUUCGAUGAAUUGAAACCUGUGUUCUUCUGUGGACAUAAGGGUGUGCGGGUGGAAGUAGGAGGAGGAGGAAGAGGGGAGACACCGGGAACCGGGCACGGCAGCGACACAGGAGUGGGAUUUGUGGAUGUGGGGAGGCAGGCGAGGGUGACGAGGUACCGGGAGAAGCGGCGGACGAGGCUGUUCGCGAAGAAGAUAAGGUACGAGGUGCGGAAGCUGAACGCGGAGAAGCGGCCGAGGAUGAAGGGUCGAUUUGUGAAGCGAGCUCCGGGAUCAGCCUUUGCUCACUGAGGCGGUCAUUCCGGUUCCAGUUUCCAGGUGCUCAACUGGGUAAAUAAUAUACUCUCACCUUUCUCUUUCCUUUUCCCAUCAUAAUUUUUGGGCCCUUCUGCAUCUGUCAAGAGUUCUUGGGGGGGGGGGAUGCCAAUUAUUUUUAUGAUGGAAUUUCUAAUAAUUCCACCUUUUUUUUAACCCCUACGUCAGAUCGAGUCACUAAGAUCUAAAUAGGACUUUUAACACUUGGAGCUCAGAUUUGACCUCAUAGUUAUGCUGAAAAAAAUGUAUAUAAUUCCUCUUUAAUUCAAUGAUAUUGAAUUAUCUAAUUACCACCAAUUAAAUGCUAACGUGUUUCUUUUGUAAUAUGUGAAAGGAAAAGACGAGAACAGAGAUCAGCCUGUUCAUUUCUAGCAUAUCAGCUAGCAUGUAAGGAAAAGUCUUUACUGAUUAAAACAUAGAAUAUGUAAAUAUAUGCAGGUUGACACGAUAGAAACAAGUAACAAAAAUAAUCAAAGAAACUGUGGACAAAAAAGAACAAGAUGUGAUGAGCUUCUAUCUUGUUAACUAAUGUAUUCCGAGUCUUGCAGCCCAAUUUAUGACAUGCAGCCCAAUUUACUACUUGAUUAUUAUACUCAAGAAAAUAAUAUAAGAAAAUGUUCAAGAGAUCUUCAAUGUUAUGUAGUGAUCGGAAUGUGUUUUCUUUUUAGUAAAGAUGAGUCUGUCUCGAUCCCUAUACCAAAAAUUUUUUAGUGGUAAGUAAUUGAAGGAUAAAUUUGAUCGUCAUUGUUUCAUAUCGAAGGAGGGAUAAACUACAUAGAUGUUAUUGUCCAACAAUUUUGCAAAAAGUUAUUGUGGUCUCAAAUCAUGAAUCAAUACCUUCAUCCUGCAAGAGAGAUCUCUCAGUAUUUAUUUUCAAAAACACGAUCUAAUCUGACAGAAAUAUGAGCUUGACCUUUUAUGAUUAUUACACCAAAUAUAUUUAGGUCCAGAAAAUCCGUUAAAUCAUAAAUUUUCAUAAAAUCAUAGAAUGUUCUAAUUAAAAGAUAAGUAGUUUAUCAGAGCUAUGAAAAGUGCUAUUAAUAUCACCUAAAACAUACCAUGGGGGAUCUAUAAAAUCGAAAGUAGAUAGAGAGUUCCAUACCUGAUUUCGUAAAUUAAGGUACUAACAUAAAUACUAGCAAGAAAUCAAGAAUGACUAUGAUUUAAUUGCACAACAACAUGUAUUAAUUGAGGUUGGGCAAAUAUCACCUGACCGUGAGGAAGAGAGGAACACCAAGCAAGAAAUAUACCACCCGAGGCUCCAUCAAUGGCUGGGAGAUGCCCUACCAAUCUCGAUCGAUGCUCUGUAGUAAUCUUUUAGAUUGUGCUUCUGAAGUGUGUGUUUCCUACAGAAGAAUUAGAGCAAGUCUAUAUACUUUUUUUUUUGGUAUAUUUUAGAAAAUCUCGAACAGAUUUCCUUAAAAUAUGUCAUAAUAAUUCUAAAAUAGAACAAUCAUUUUAACUAGAGGGAGCAUUCGGUAAAAAUCCAUCAGAAGGAAAAGUAAUAGCAGACAGCAGAGCUUAUGGUGAUUUUAGAGCCGGAAGAAUUUUUUUUUCUCCGUCGAUCCAAGAAGUCUCGAAGAAGGUUGGAGUCUGCAGGCCCCGGUGCUUGGAUCAUCAUUUGCAAAGGACGCCCCCGCAAAGUUGAUCUUAGUAAGAAUACGAGGGCCUCAGGAGAGCCACUGGUUUCCGUUGAAGUGGAAGAGGAAGAAAGCAAAGGAGAAGUAAAAGAAAGAGGCAAUGAGUUCGAGGGUGGAGCGAACGUAUGUGGUGGUAGCAUGCUGUAAGAUGGACACAUCAUCUUUUUCACCUGGCAUUACUUCCUUGGGACAAGUAUUAAUUGCAGAAUGGGUCGGAUCUGAAUUCGCACCCUUAGCCUGCUGAGACUCGAGGUUGGUGAAAUCAGGUGCAUGCGUUGUCUGUUUUGGGAUGGCAUUAAGUGCAAUAACCUUGUUGGUUGCAGCUGAUGGCAUUAGAACAAUAGCUGAAGGGGUGGGACAAGUAGCAGAAUCUGUAGAAAAGACUGGUUGAGGGAAGAAGAGAUUUUUUGUUAAAAGGUCGCCGAUGAAGAACUUUUCUCCAUGGAUCAAAAAUUGGAUUAUCGUUCCCUUUCUCAUCAGCCGAAUCUGGUUGAACCUCCUGUGGCAGAGGAACAGGGACAAGGAGUAGUGGAGGAAUUAAUGUCAGUGGGGCAAACUUUUCAUAUGAAAUCACUUGAAAGAGGCUCGAACAAGAUUCUCCAAACCAAUUACCUUGAAUGAGGGGCUUGGUAAUGUCUUUCUCAAUACAAACAUGAGUGAAUCUGCCCCUCUCAAAGCGGAGGGAUCGAGGGUCAAUCCGAAUAGGUCGACCAAGGCCGGAGGUGAUGCAGAAGAAGGAAGAUUCUUUAUUCCAACGAAAGCCCUGACAUAUAAAUCCAAAAAGAGAGUAUCGAUAUGGGCAAUCAAAGAUUGAAAAAUAAGUUAGAAAGGAAGCAGUUGAAAGAUAUCCCAAGGUCCCUCAAUGACGAUUCAAACAACAUCAGCUUCAUAUUGGAAUGGAGAAAGAAAAAAAAAAAAUCAGAUUCAAGAUCUAUGAUAGCAGCUGGGGCAUCAAGAGGCCAUAGCGUAGAUAUGGAAGUUGAUUCUUCAGCGAGACAGAAGAUGAUAAUAAUGCUACCUCAUCGAUUCUUUUCCAACUUCAAUUUCAAACAGUUGGCCGAAACGAAAAGGCAUCAUUUCGGCAUAUCGAAGAACACAUGAUCUUAUUGCCUAGGAUGUUUCCAUAAUAAGAAACCAUACCAACUAUUAUCGGCUCCAUAGUACCGACUCCGCUUGAUGAAGACCUUGCAGUAGCUCAGGUUCUUUGUAUGCUGUAUCAAACAUGAAGGAAAUGUCUGAAUACGACAGAACUGCAAAUAAACUAUUGCCAAGGUGAAUUUGAAGAAGAUCGUUAGACAGUAAAAUAAGCAUAAAAAAAUAGCAAAAAUCCUUGUCAAAAUCACAUUUGUGGCUGUAUUAUGAUCCUACCACAGACAGGAGAUGGAAAAAAGAUGGGCAUUUAACCAAUGCACCAGCCAAGGACAAUGCAGCUUGGACAGGCAAUUAGCAAUCAAGAUCAUCACAAGACCGACCAUGUGGGUGCCAAUAAAAGCUUUGCCGAAGCCAUUGAAGCAAUAAUUUAUGCUACUUUUCAAAGUCUGGAUUGACCGAUCGGGAAAGGUCAUCUUUGCAACAAGUGAUGUCAGCAGCAAACAUGUUUGCACACAUACAUCUAUUCACACAAAUAAUAGAUUAUAGACAUUAAUAGUCAACAUUUAACUGGACAGAAUUAUUAGGCUCAGCCUUGUCAAUACUGUAAUUGUACUGCCAAAUCUGUUACCUGCAAAAGUCAUCCUACUUUUAUCAAUUUGUUAAUUUAAAAACAACCAAUAGUUAAAACACUGCGACAGAAUUACUGAAUGCUAUAAGAAAAGAGAAGAUAAUAACCAAGCAUAAUCAAUAAGUACAAAGCUCAAAUUUUGAAAUCCAGAAUAUGCAAUUUUAUGUACAGACCAUGUAACAAUGAAGACUAUAUAAUUAUAUAACUAAAAAUCUAUAAAUAAGUAGUAUUUGUUACCAUGAGAUAACAUUCAUCCAUUUACUGCAGUUGGUUUGAUGUCAGCUAACUCAACAAAUACCUUGUCCCUUCAGUUAGUCCAAUUGCAAUCCAAUAACAGAUCUCACCCCACUCUCCAAUAGGACUAUGUGUGGAGCCCUUGGUGGUACGGGUCAAACCUGAACCAUCCGAAUGUCAAUUACCAAAUAGCCAAAGCCCAUGUACAAAGGUCCAAUCUCUUCAAAGGACCUGUCACAUAAAUCACUUGCCAAAAUCCAGACACAUCUCUCUUAUCUCAUUUAAUUGCUACCAACCUGCUCUCUCUACUGUAUCUUCACCUCAUAAUUGUACAGACUAGAAUAUCAAAGGGAAUCGAUUGGAGUAAACUCCAAUAUUCCCUCCUAGCCUUCUCGUUCUCCAGCCCUUCACAUUAACCUCAUCAUCCAUCAGUAGUUAUAUGUGAUUCUUGACAGUAUUUAAUGCUAGCUCUGAUCUCCAAAUUGAAUGACCCGCAUGCUAUUUAGGUAGUGUUGUACAUCCCGUUUAGUGAAUUUUAACAUCUAAUGCUAAACAAAUGGGUCUAAUGCCCCCCCACCAAAAUGAAAGACCAGAUACAUAGUGUUGUACAAAUUGACAUCCUGAAACUAAGAAGUUUCAAACACCAAGGUGACACCUACCAAAGGUGUUUAUUUGCAAUUUAAUUGUUUCAAGUCGACCUACUCAACAAAUCUCAUUUAAGCAACCUUAUGUAAGGCCCAACUCAAUCAUUUGAUAUGCUUCACUUAUCAGCUCAUAGGCUUAGCCUGGUAGCUGAUUUGGUGAAGGUUGAGCCAAUCUAACUGGUUUCAAUAAAGCACUUAGUAAAAUGUGCAAAAAAAUGUUACCAUCGCUGAAAGAAACUGACCCAGUAACAUCUUCAGUUUAAGGAAUCGCAUCUACAAUUACAAAAAGGUAUAACAUAAAGAUGGGAGGUGAAGAACCGAAAUGACAGAGGAGAGCUAGGAGAUUGAAGAGAAAUUAGGAUACGCAGAGCAAGGAAGGAGGCAGGAUAGAAGAGGGGAGAAAAUGAAUUUGGAGUUAGGAUAGGAAUCUGUGUACUUAAAUAUACAAGAUUAGGAUUCAAGUCAACUUAGAUCGAGGUUCAAAUUAGGUUAGGCCUAUGCCAAACCCACCUCAAAGACGGUUAUACAAAUUUUAGAUUUUCCUCAAUCAUGACCAAACAGAUAAAAGCCCACCCCAACUUUACCAAAUUCUUGUCAGGCUCCCUUGCUAUCCCCAUCUAACAUGUUUGUGUCCAUUCCUCAAAAGACAAGACCACCUGUUAUAUGAACAAAGGUUCCAGUGAUAUUGUUUCUUCGUUUGUACCUUUGUAAUCAUAAUUGUGGCUCCAUUAUCUACUUUUUAAUGAUUUAUUGCAUUAUAUUUAUCUCUAUUUUAGAUGAAUUGGUUCCUCUAUGUAAUGUGAAUCGCUGUGCUGGACUAAGCAUAUCAUCCAUCUGUUACUCUUCGCAUAACUUUUCACAUUCACAUCUAGUUUUAUCACAUGAAAUUUAUUUUACCGAUUUUUGUAUAUAUAUAUAUAUAUAUAUAUAUAUAUAUAUAUUACUAUGAAAGUAUGAAUUAUAAUUAACAAAUGUGCUCCUAAUAUUUGAAGUAUUGAUAUUCUUUUAAAUCUUUGGACCCCAUAUGAUCUUAUGUGUAUUAUUAGUUAGUAAUAUCAUACAUUGUUUAUAUUUUGUUCAUUCCUAUAUUUUCAAAGUCAGCAGUGUACAUUUUGCAAUGCGCACCGCCUAAAUGUAAAUCCUGACUCCACAUCGCACCUGAUUCUACAUAUGGCGGCACUAACUACCCAAUUCUAAUCAAAACCCUCAAGCAGUCUGACAAAGCAAGGGCACUGUAGAUUAUUAAUCAGGAAAGCAUAUAUGAUAUCGGAAAUGCACCAAUUUUGGAUCAAAACUCUAAGAAAAUAAAAAUUAAAAGAUGUAGCAUAAUCACAUAGAUACUAAUUUCCCAAUAACCCGAGGCAAAUAAGAUGAUCAGAGUCCUCACUACCUCAACUCGAAUCAGAUGCUUCUACUCAGACCGUGGGUUUGCGUUGGAAGCCUUGGCCAGGGUCAUCUUCGGAGGGGAAGGCGCUGAGGGCAGUGACCACGGCGGCGGGGGGCCCGACCCUGCAGCGCCUCUCGACCAUCUCGUCGACAGCGGUGGGGUCGCCGGAGAAGAGCGCCUCGACGGAGCCAUCCCUCCGGUUGCGGACCCAACCGUUGAGACCGAGUUCCCGGGCGGUCUGGACCGUCCAAUCGCGGAAGAAAACACCCUGCACCCGCCCCUUGACGACCACCCGCAGCUGGAAGAAAUUCAGCCAUACCAUGUUAUAUACAUCAGAUCUGAAAAGGAGUCGAUAACAAAGAGAGUGCAAGAGAGAAAUAGUACGGUUUUGGCGGACGGAGGCAUCGGCGACGGCGUUGCGGCGGUGGCGAUGGCGUUCAUGGAGGGUAGCGGUGGAGAGAGAAGAUUCGAGAAAGAGGAAUGGAAGGAGAGGUGAUGACGGCAUACUGUAAUAUGAUUGCUUGUGGACUAGCGAGAAAAUAAUAAUAAUUAAGAAAAAUCUAAGGGCGAAUUAAGAAAAAAACCCUAACUUUGAAUAAUUCCUUAAUAUCGAUAUUGUAUUUUGGGGUCUAACUAAAAUUUUUAAAAAGAAUAAAAAAAUAUUAUAUAAAGACAUCAUGAGUUGAUUCUUUUACCAACUUUUUACCAUUGCUUAAGGACAUAUUUAUAAGUUAAAAUAUCAAAAAAUAUUAUAUAAAAACAUCAUGUUUUGGUGGAAAUAAAAAAUAUAUGGAGAAAAUAGAAAAAUCACAACUGUUCACAUUUUGAAUAAAUUCCUGUGAACUUUUGGUAAUAUUUGUGCAUUAAUUUCUUAGUCUCUUUUAUUUUUUACCAAAAUAUCUAUUACAGUAUCAAAUGGAUAUUAAUUAUACUAUAACAGGGCUACAGUCCCAAAUGGAGCCUCUUAGGCAAGUAAAUAUGAAUCACACACCACAAGUAAUAUUUUGACAAACAUAAUUUUGAUCUUACUGGGAUUGAAUAUAUAUAUAUAUAUGUAUAUAUAUAUAUGUAUACAUAUACAUAUGUAUAUGUAUACAUAUACAUAUGUAUAUGUAUAUAUAUAUAUAUAUANNNNNNNNNNNNNNNNNNNNNNNNNNNNNNNNNNNNNNNNNNNNNNNNNNNNNNNNNNNNNNNNNNNNNNNNNNNNNNNNNNNNNNNNNNNNNNNNNNNNNNNNNNNNNNNNNNNNNNNNNNNNNNNNNNNNNNNNNNNNNNNNNNNNNNNNNNNNNNNNNNNNNNNNNNNNNNNNNNNNNNNNNNNNNNNNNNNNNNNNNNNNNNNNNNNNNNNNNNNNNNNNNNNNNNNNNNNNNNNNNNNNNNNNNNNNNNNNNNNNNNNNNNNNNNNNNNNNNNNNNNNNNNNNNNNNNNNNNNNNNNNNNNNNNNNNNNNNNNNNNNNNNNNNNNNNNNNNNNNNNNNNNNNNNNNNNNNNNNNNNNNNNNNNNNNNNNNNNNNNNNNNNNNNNNNNNNNNNNNNNNNNNNNNNNNNNNNNNNNNNNNNNNNNNNNNNNNNNNNNNNNNNNNNNNNNNNNNNNNNNNNNNNNNNNNNNNNNNNNNNNNNNNNNNNNNNNNNNNNNNNNNNNNNNNNNNNNNNNNNNUAUAUACAUAUAUGUAUAUAUAUACAUAUAUAUAUAUAUUUAUAUGUAUAUAUACAUAUACAUAUACAUAUGUAUAUGUAUAUGUAUAUAUACAUAUACAUAUACAUAUGUAUAUGCAUAUAUACAUAUAUAUAUACAUACAUACAUACAUACAUAUAUAUAUACAUAUAGAACAUAAUAAUUUUAUUUUCAGCAAUACUAGAAAAAUACUGUAAUUCAGUAUAAAAAUACUGUAACAUAAUAUUUUUGUACUGUGUUACAAUAUUUUUUUGGUAUUUCUGAAAAUACUGUAACACAAUGUAAAAAUACUGCAACUAGAUUAGUUCACCCCAUAGAUUGGUCCAUAAGAAAAAAAAGGAGAAAAAGAGAAAAAAAUAGGUAGAUGACCGGAUGUAUUUUAGAUAUUAAGUAAAAAAAUAUUAUUUUGAAAUUCUGAAAAUGAGGAGUGAUUUUCAAAAAAAUACCUAAAAGGAGAAGUUUUAUUGAAAUUUAUCCAAUAAUUUUAAUAACAAAAAGAAGUCUGUGGUACCACAGUAAAAUUGUUCCUCAAUUUGAGGAGAUUUAAUGAUAUUGUUUGAUGAGAUUUUGAGAGAUGUGAAUGAUCUCACCUCUCAAGGAAAGAACUACCUACAUAGAUAAAUAAACCUCAAUGUCUUAAUUGAUUUUCAGAUUGUCUGGACUGUGAUCAAAAUGUUUAGGGAUGAGUGCGGCAUAGUAUCCACUAGAAUGAAGCAUUUGCAAAGAACAUUUAUCUGAUCUUUAUACAUCUGAAUUUAUUUGUCCUAAAAAGGGAUCGUGGAUUUGUUUUGAAGAUGCUUUCAACAGGUUAUAGGCUGCAGACCUCUAGUAGCAAUGCAAGAACAACAAAACAAAGAUGAAGGCUGAGAAGAAGCAGAAGAUGAUGGAAACUCUUUUCAUUGUUGCCUAAGAGCCAACAGCCCUUUUACUACUACAGCACCCUCUCCUGCAGUCCUAGAAACAAAAUCUCAGGAAUGAACUUGUUUAGUUUGACAUUUGCAUACUUGAUGGAUUUAGAAAAAAGACCAUGCAUGUACUUCGAUGAUGCUUUUAUCUAGGAUCAAACACACCAAAGAGUAAUUAGUUUGAUAUUUACAUACUUGAUGAUGUUAUAGUAUCAUUGCUCAUUCCCCUAGAAAUUUAUCUUAUUCAGCAGUUUAUACAUAGUCUUCGUGUGUGCUUUCAUAUCCUAACUUUUGACAUCUCAAUGAGGCAUGAGGAAUGCAUAUAGUACUUUCAUGAUCUUGGUUUCUACUAGAAUUGAAGAACAGAAUAGAGAUAUAGAAGAGUGUGAUACUUGAAAGUAAUUCAUUAUAAAUCAUACAUGUUUUAUGCUUUUGAUCAUAACUACGUGCACAUUCUAAUAUGUAGUUUCGUAGGAUUUCGGCAGGGUUGAGUUAGAUUAACCUUAACAUAACCCAAUUUGGGUACAUGUGAAACAUCCUAACCUAACCCAUGCAGCAAAAUGGUGAAGCAACAUCUAUUUUCUUGCAUCAAGUGCCUGAGGUGACUCAAGUUGGUUUAGUCUCCUCAGUUAUUAUUAUUUUCUUAAGUAAGUAAUUAGUUGUCUAUCAAAACUAAUAUUUCAAGAAAACAAGGCAGAAAUAAAUAACAUAGGGUUUAUUGACGAGAAACAACACAAAAUCAAGUUUUUGACACAAUCAAUUAGAGUGAAGAUGUCCAUGUAAGUAAGAAAAGUCAGAGAGGCAAGAGUUGGAAGGAAGAUCUAAAAAACAAUAACUGGAUAAACAAUAAUCUCUUUUAUUUUCCCUGACGGAAACUUCUGAUCACAAAUAGUUACUGGCAUUACAAGGAGGACACUUCUCAAUACAAGAAAUAGCAUACAACACUGAUAAAUAUACUAUAUUAGUGUAUCCUAUACAGGUCAUCAAGAUAAUCCCAAGAGAUUGCAGGCUUACUCAAUUAUUCCCCUGUUCCAGCAAUCUUCUUCUUUAAAGCUUCAAUGUCAUUGACUAGUUCUUUUCUGCUAUCCUGCAAAUGACAAGUUUAUCUAGUCAGGGAACAAAAAAAUGAUGACAAAGAAUAAGAAGGGCAAGAUUAUAAGCAUAAUACAUCUUUAUGAGAAUCAGAAAGAACAAAUUUGUCGAUACAGUUAUCUUCGUUUGGGAAUGUUCCAUCAGAUUUCAUUUAAAGGAAUCAAUCAUGAACAUUCUGGGGUCGAGGAGAACAUAAGAAAUCUCACUUGGUUUAACUCUUGUCCUCCGUAGCACCAAAAGAAGAAUAGACAUGUAUGAAAUUUUACAUGAAUAAAUAUUUCAUACUUUAGCUGUUGCGAUAUAGCCUAUUUACAGAUGAUGUUCAUGUCUAUUCUUUUAGUAGAACCUCUUUUGAAGUCCUAUACCAUCGCCAUAUUGGCUAAUAUACAAAAGAAUUCAAUGAUAAUUAUAAUCAUCAACUACAUCAAUGCUCAGUGAAACUGGGAAAUCUAACAGGACAAAUGCCUCAGAAACUGCUAUAGAAGAUGGAUUGUUUGACUCAAACCGGAACAUUCUUGAGAACAUCUAAAUCUUAAGCUUACCUUGAAAAGUAGGUAACGGUAUACAAACCAUCCAGUGUAUCCGAGACCCACUAAUUCCAUGAUCUUUGGAAGCUGUAAGAACAAGAGAACAGUUUUGAGUUACAUCAACUGAAGCAUCAUGACUUUAGACAGAAAAAAAAAAGAGCAACAAAUUUCUUGUCUUGAAUAACAAAAAAAUCUCACAAAUAAGGUCACAAAUACUAAUUCAAGACAAGAAAGGGAACCACAGCACAAACAUUUCUGUCUUUACUGCUCAACAAUGCUGGCACAAGUCACUGUUAGUUCACACAAGUAUGCAAUGUGGAAUCCAGGCAAUAUGAAAUUUUGGUACCAGAGGAACCGAGUUGAUGGCACCAACAACAACGGAAGAUAGCCACACCGCAACAAUUGCACCACCCCCAUACAAUAAGACAGUAGAUUUGUUCUCGAUCGAAUCCCACUGUUAUCACAAUUACAUCAGUUAAUCCAUUGGGAGAAGAGGGAUCGCUAAAGAAUGCUAAUAUGCAGGAGCUGUGAGGACAUACUUUCUCCUUCAAAUCAGCCAGCAGCUCAUCACCAGACCCAGAUGACUCCUCCGAUGAAGAAGUCGCUCUCGCCCGUAGCGAAGAGAACCUGCAAUGAUCUGCUGCCAUCAAGAACCUGAAUCAGUCGAUGCCUCUUUGCCUACCCAACCACCGGACCUGUACUAAUUUGUGGGUUAAAGAUGGAAUCUCAAAGAUGGAGGAGGAUACCACGGGGUUGGGAGGAGGAAAGAGAAAUGGGAAGAGACGAGAAGGAGCGGCGAGGCGGCGGCGGGAGGAGGAGGACUGGGGCCCGGUGAGAGGCUGAACCGGGCGCGGGCGCGGGGAGGCGAGAUCCAGAGAGCACCGCUGCCGGAGGGGACGCUGCUGCAAACGCCGUCGCCGCCAUGGAGCUCGCUGUUGACUUCGGCGAUUGCUUCCUUCCCCCUUUCCGGCUUUCAGAUUGGUCUUGCUUUUUGCUUGCCUCCCCUCAAAAUGCCCAAGUGAUUUGGCCACCCAACCUCUGUCCACUAUCCAAUAGACAGGUGGCAGAUGGACUUCUUCUUAUUGGUUGCUUGUCUAUCAUGAUAUCAUCGUGAGAGAAGAAUAUGUGAUCCCGGAACUCUUCGAGUUAUCCUAUUUCUUGGUUGAAAAGAAGAACUCAUCUUCAUGUUUUUAAUUUUCUUUUGUAAAUAAGCAUAUUCAAAUUUAAAGAAAAUGAUGAAAUGUUUUUCUGAUGAAUUUUUACCAAUGCAGCUAAACUUAAGUCAUAACGACUGCAAGCUUAACUUUGAUGAAUUUUUAUUAUUGAUUGAACCUUACUUCUGGACCUCAAAUGAUACUAUUAAAUAUACACAAAGGAUUAUUGAGAAACACUUACUGUUGAAAUAGCAUUGGUUUGGUGCUACAUACUAACUAAACAACACAUUUCAUGCUCUCUUCAUUGGAUAAACCCUCCAUGUUGUUCAGCACAUGUUUCUUGAUCCGAUGCUCAACUCUAGUUAAACAUCUAAUUUCCUGCCAGUAUCAGGAUCUCAGACACUUUAUGACAACCCCCUGAAUUGUAGGCUCACCAGAUGAGGAAACGAGUUUGUUUUCAACACAGCAAUGAGAAAAUAAAGAGAACAUUAUGAUUCAGCAAAAAUGUCAGAGAAGUUUCCUUAGCAAUCAAGUGAUCAUUAAAAACAGUUCGAUGAUGCCAAUAACAACUAGUAACAAUUUUCAUUUAAAGAGUUUAGAAAUAACAACUCAGGUAACAGCACCGGCAUUUGCAGAAACAGAAAAAAGAUAUUAGGUGAAUUUUCCUGUACGUUCCUGUCCAAGAAAUCAUAUAUAUUAUGUCUAGAAUUACAAUAAAACUAGAUUCUGGUUAAAACAACGUACAUAAAGCUUCAAAUGAUGAACAGCUUCUUGCAAUCCUUGACAUAUGAAAGAAAAAAAAUUCCUUGCAUGACAUGAUUGGCACAACAAAAUUUUUUAGCACAUUCAAUCAACGUCCCUUUCUUUUACUCUUCUUACCCGUAACUUUCUUCUUCCCCUUCUUGUUGUCAAAAGUGCUACUUUUGGAUGUGGUGGGAGCCAAAAGAUGCUUGACAUUCAGAACGCCUUUCCUGAAAUGUCCCUCGGUUGCUUUCAACCCCCUGCCCUCUGGUUUUGGCUUCCUGGCUUUACUGUUACUCUUCAGCGCAAAUCGGCCAAGAAUCAGCUCCUAAAAAUAUCACUUAUGAAUCAGAAUCCCAUUAGGUCAAACAGAGAAUAUACUGAAAAAAGAAAAGACCACCUCUUCCUUUUUCUUCUCUUCUCUUUUCUUCUGAUUUUUCAUAGCUGGUUUUGCCACACUUAACGGUGUUCGAUGCUUUUUAGGAGGCUGUUCAGAAGACAAUGAAGUCACAGAUAUUUAACGAAACAACUAGAUGUCUGAUAUGUUCUUACCUUUCCACCUAAACUAACUACUUUUCGGUUCUCAUGCUGUUUCCUCUCUUUCCACGACAUAUUUGAUGCACCUUAACGAAACACAAGAGCAGCAAAAGUAAAAAUUACAGCAUAGGAUGGAAAAAUAACUUCUUAUUUAAAAAAGCUGCAAUGACAAUUCAAGGACUAAAUAUGCAGAUUCAAAAUUAUCCGCUGAUCAAUAGUAACCCAGCCUGAAACUAACAACUCUAUGCACAACUCAGUAGAGCAGGACACUUUUAGUCAAGAAGGGUAAAAGUAAUAUCAGACAUCUGUUUUCUAUAAUAAGACAAACAGGGUAAAGAAAAGCCCAGAUGUAAGCACACAACCCAGAGCAAGAACAAGAUCUAUUGGAAACAUAAGGUCAAACUCAUGAUUCUUAAAUUGCAUUUUCUACUUGACAAUACUUCAUCUGCGUUAUAUACCUAAUCAAAACAUUUUAUUAAUCUUUUCAAAUUACUGAAGUUUACUGGCAAGACUCAGAACUACUAGAAGCAUGACUAUACAUGGUAGCAGCCUAUCUUACAAUAGCAAAUAUGUAAAUUCUUAAUUUGGUCAACAUAUCAAGAUUUUUUAACAGCUUCCCAGUGAACUAAAUCCAGAAACACACAUAUCUAUAUGAACUUUUAUCGACCAUUAUACAUUUACUCAGAUCUAUGCAAUAAUAAGGCAUAUGUAAUUCAAUUAAAAAAAAGAUCAAUUACAGAUGUAUAUUUUAGAUCAAGACAUACAAGGCCAAAAGGAUGACACCAUGACAUUAUGAUCCCCAAGAUGGCAUAUGUAAUUCAAUUCAGAAAAAGAUCAAUUACAGAUGUACAUUCUUAGAUCAAGACAUACAAGGCGAAAAGGAUGACACCAUGACAUUAUGAUCCCCAAGAUGCCCCAACCUGUCAUAGUCAGACCUAUGUUCAUCACCAUGAGGUUUCAAAUCUCAGAUAAAAUUAUUUCUUCUCAUUGUUGUUUCCGAUGAAAAGCUAAAAUUUAACACAAAUCUAAAUAAGCAUAGGUGUAGACUCUGAAAUAUGCAUUUCUAAAUAAAAACUUUCCCACUUCAGAGGAGAGAAGAUAGGAUAAAAUACCAUCAUUAAAGAAGAAAAAAUCAGCUCUAAAUUUUAAAAUCUAGAAGAUAAAGAAUCAACUAACUCAUGUUUCCACAAGCACUAGGUGAAGAAUAUUUCAACAAAUAACACAAAAAUGAAGUGAAUAUUAGCAACAAAAUUAUCUGCAUUGACAAAAUAAAUAUAAAAUUUACCUAGGUGACUUUGCUGAGGUGUCUAUUUAAUUUUUAUUAAAAGCUUUAUCACCAAAAUUUUGUCAAAAUGGCCAACAAAAAAUUAUCUUGUCACCAAGCUUAUUACCAAAUUAAAAAAAUACAAAUUGAAUACAUGCCCAACCAAAAUCACAUGUGGAAAUAUAUUUCACAAAUAAUUUCUACUGGAGCUUAAAAGCUAGCUAUAUAUACAUGCAAAAGUUCCACUUAAAAUAUUCCAGUGUCUCACCGACACACGAUUAUCCUCAUAAAAGAUCUGAGAAGUAAACUACAUUAUUUAAUUUUGAAGUUAUAAAACUACAUACCCAAGUAUUCAACAUCUUUCAAUAUUUUCCUAAUGUCCAUCUUCUCAUUCUCACUGUCUGACUGAUCAUCAGAUUCUUUAGAUAUCGGCUUCCUGUACAUAUCUGCAAGGUUUCCUGACUGCAGAAGAAAUCAAAUUAUAGUAAAAGAAUAAAUUAAUAAUUGGGAUUGUAUAUGUGAACAUGAUUAAUGCAUGAAAUUGCAUAUACUAGUAACAAUGUUGCUGGCUUCUACAUUUGACCAUUAUAAGCAACAAGAAAAGAAUCAUUGAUGCAAACUUUAGUCACAUCUAAAAUUGAAUUAUGAAGUUAUUCAAGAAAAGAAGGUCAUACAUAAAAUACACCAAAAAUUGUGUAAUAUUUGCUCGAAGGAAAUCAGAAUUUUAAUAUCAAUUCAUGAGACCCCUUGUUUCACUCAUUAUAGCUCACUAAAUGCUUCAAAAACAACAUUUUCUACACAUAGUACGAACCCCAACUUGUCUAUAAUUAAACAAUGCCUAUGAACCUUAGAAAGCACAAAUGCAUGAAAUCUAAUUGAAAAUUUAAAUGAUGAAUCUUGAUAGAAGUAGAUAGAAGACUUACAAUAUAGUUAGUUUAAGGUUUAUAUUUGGUGCAUCACCAAUUACUCUCACUGGAAUAGUUGAUGAAGCAUAAGAAUAUUCAAGAACAGAUAACUCUUACAAUCAUCAACUCCUAAAAAGAGCAUCUAAAUUAGCAUUUAACGUUCUUUUCAGUAUUCAGAACAAGAGAAUCGUGUCAUACCACGAAGUUCCGUCUUUCAUUAGCAUACGAUCCGGAACGAGAUUUAAAAGUACGAGAAUUUGAAGGAUCAUAUACAACUUCAGCAGCAAGAUUCAAUUUGACCAUGAUUGCCGCUUUCUCCUGGCCAAGAAAUGGAACAAGUGAUGAACAUAUUAGUUAGCACACACAGCAUCUCUUCAAUUAUGUGUAUGAGCAAAAAGUUCUAAUAUUUGUGCCAAUAGGGUAAACAGUGAGCGAGAAGAAGAGCAUCAAGAUUGGAUAAGAAAAUACAGGCAAAUAAAAUCAAAGGAUUCAGUGAACAAAACAUGCACGCUAAAGAGGUUCAGGUUUCAUUCAAUUUGCUGCAAUCUAAAGACGCAUAUAACUGACGCAGGACAAGAAGAUGAUGAGAUCGUGGAGAGAACCAACCUAUGCGAAGACGAAGCGCGACGGAGAGACUCGAGGCGGACGAGAUCGUUCAACGAGGGCAGAGCCGUUCGCGUCCCGUUUAGGGUUGCAAACCCCUCUCUUUUCCAGUUUUGUAUUUGUUUCUCUAAAUUUUAGUUAUUAUAAAAACCUCCUCUACUGCGAUCGCAGAUAAUCUAACCCCGACCGUACAAUAGGGACCCACCAAAUUCUGCUUCUUCCUCCAGUCACAGGAUAGGUAGCCGAGAUGGGUAGAAUUAGGAAAAAAGGAUACGGCGUGUCACCCUUUUCUCCGAACACAUCGUGCUGUCGCGAUUCCAGAGAUCGAUUGAAUCAACCGCACCACGUGGACGGCAGUGAUGAAGUCCAAUUCUCCCGCAUUGUUUCUACUCGAGGGAGGAUAAACUUGUCUUGGUGUGACGUCUCCAGUAACCAAGUGAUCAAGUCGACGUGGACGGCUGCGAUAAAGCCAGAUCUCCCCCGUGUUGUAUCUAAUGGAACAUAUUUCUUUAUAUCAUGAGGCCAGUAUUUAAGUAAUCAACCAAACUACGUGGACGGCUGUGAUUAAGCCCAGUUGUCUCCCUUGUUUAUAUCCAAAGGAACAUAUGCCUUGAUGUAACGUGCCGACCGAUUGGUUGAUCGAUCGACUAAUUGGUGUGUUUAACGAAUAGUGCAUGGAUACAUAAAAAGCACCGGAAGUACAUAUAUUAUUGGAGGCGGAGACGUGGAUCUAUGCUAAGCCCUUUGUUUCGCCUUUCUUUUGCUUAUUAUAUUAUGCGCCUCCUCGAGAAGGAGACGAUAUUUAUCGUUGCAAUUGCCAGAGCCAAACCCAUCUGCUUCCUCCACCCUUCUUUCGCUUCUUGCACCCGUCUCGAGUUUGAUCUCUUGAUUCAAUUGUGAGUUUGCUCGUAGACGAGCGGACGCCGUGCUGGUGGAAACUGAGGUGAGAAGCGGAUCUCCUCUCCCCCGAUCCCCUUCCUGAUGAUUGAAGUUUUGUACAUUUCCUCAAUGAUCUCUUGUGGGUUGCGAUACAAAGCCAUUAUUUUGAUUUAUUUAUUUUCUUUUCCUUUUUGAGUUAUUUUAGGGUCGAUAACAGUUCGGGGAGUACUUUAGUGUUCGCAUUGUAGGAUCUGCGCCAUCGCUGCUCAAUGGCGUGGAUAUCAUUGUUCUUUGAUGGAUGAGGUUACGCACUAAAAUUAUGUAAAUGAGGGUAGCAUGUUGUGGAGUCCUUUGUGCGUAAGGGCUCUUUUUUUUUUCUUGUUAUCAAAUUUGCAUCAAGUAUUACAAUCCCCUGAAAAAACUGAAGUUCUGGGUAGGCAUACAUAUACGUCCAGAAUGAUGUAACUGAUAAAAUAAAUCUUUUAGUAUACCUUUUGCUAUGUAUUUUAUGUAGCAACUUAUGGUCCAACUGAUUCUCAGUCCCAUUGAACAUGAUUUCUAACGUGCAAUAUAUUUAGGAACUAAAAUUCAUAUGAUUUAGAUAUGUUUUGGGUCUUUGUCAAACUAUGAAAAGGGGAACAGCGUAAACAGCACUCUUUCAUGAAUAUCUGACCUAGAAAAUUUAGUUAAUGAGAAAAUAAAUUAACCGAUGAAUGUGUGCCAAUAUUCAACUAGUAUUGAUACAUUUUACUAUUUAUCAAAUCAAAAUACAUUUUAUGCCAUCACAAUUGCUUCUUUUGUCCAUGGUGCAAACGUUAUAUUGUUUACAAGUUUGAUUCUUCAUCUCAUGAUUGCUGUAUAUUAUGCUCAAUGGAGUCAAUCUUUCAUUUGAAGCUUUCAUGAAUAGUUUCGAAGUAACAGGUUUGAGGCCACAGUCCUCUCAAUACAAUUAUAAUUUAAUUGUACAUAUCUCUAGGAAAUGUCAAGAAAAUCCCCGUUAAGUCUGUCAGAUUUGCUCUUUGUUUUUUGACUAAUUAUCUUAAUAGAAAACCUUAGUAAGCAUGUCUAUUUUCUUUACUUAUUUUAGUAAAUUAUUGUCUACAUUUGACUUGUCAUGAGCACUUAGAUUUUAUAGCUUAACUUAGAAACAGUGUUUUUUCAUAAGGAUGCCAUUUGCACUUUAUCUAUGUCAUGUAUCUAAAUUUGGUUGAUUGCUUGUCUAGUUAUGAUAAGAGGAUGUAACUAGCUUGAGGCAACAACUGUAUAACUUGCAGGAAGUUCUAUGGUAUGUCUAUAUUCCUUGACUUCUAUUUGUGAAAUUUAUGUGAAAUAUUUUAAAUCAUUAUUUGUAACUUCUUAAAUUAUAAGUUUAAUUGUCUCUUGAUUUAUGAUUUUAAAAUCAUCAAUGAAUAUUGACUUGUAGUGUUUUUCUCUAUAAUAAAAGUCCUAGAAGCUGUUCUUUGCUAUUUUAUUCUCAAUAAGUACUUCCAAGUUUAGUAUAAACUCAAAGUUUCAAUAUUUUUCGUGAAAUACAGUAACAGAAAAAUGUGCAACCUCCAAGGUUCUGACUACAUUAAUGAAUAUUCAGUUACAUUUCUUCCCAUCAGAUAUGCAUAAACAUGAAGUGUCUACCAUUAUUAAAGAAUUAUAUUUUUUAAAGCUUCUGAUAGUUAGAAUACACGAAAACACAAACUUAGAUUAUAUUUUGGGAGUCCUUUUUAAUAAUUUCUUAUUGCAAAGGCCCUGGCUAACAUUGGAUAUGUUUCUAGAUGACCCCAUCAGGCUUGCUGCUGAGCUUGCUAGAAGCCUCUGAAAUAUUGAACUUUUUCAUAAAAUAUUGUAAUUUUUUUGGUGUAGUUAGCAAUCAAUUUUUAACUUGGAUAAUAUGUGUAAAUUUUAGUAGUAUGAAGCUGAAAAUUAUAACUUUUAUGUAGCUGUAGAUUCCUUAUGAUACAAUGGUGAAAUUGCCCCUUUUUGACCUAGGAGACUAGGACUCAAAUCAUGGAAACUACUUGCAUAUAUUAACCUUCCCCAGACCACGUAUUGGCAGGAGCCUCGUGCACUAGAUAAGCCCUUAUUCUUUCAGUCUCAUGGUAGACCAGGAAAUAUCUAAGCCAUAAAAGACCUGCUAUACUGCAUAAUUUUCUCCUAUAAGAGAAGCUUACCAUAUUUGUAUUCUCUUAAAACAUUGGGGAAGCUGUGAAGGGGUCAGCUUCUGGAAGAAAGAUUAGGCAGUCCAAUUUCUUUGAGGGUGGACCAAAACAUAAUGAGCAUUAUGGACUACAUGUGUUGCCAAGGAAUGGCUGAUACUGUACAGUGCAACUGGGAAUUCAGUUGCACUAACCUAGGGCGUGGUUCCUGCAAGCACCUAUCCUAAGCGCUGGUACUGCAUUGUCAUGUCAAGGGUAUUGUUGGUGAACCUUAUGCCGUGGCCGUGGGGUCAGUACGGCUUGGUUCGAUUGGCGAUGUCCAGGACCAUCUUGGGGACGAGGUCUUCGCCUAAUCGGGUUGAGCUCAGAUUUGGUUGGGAUGCGCCUCUUCAACGAGCCCGUCCGCCUUUGUCGUCGUCGGAUUCCUGCACACUAGCUUAGGUCGGGAUGGGGAGGGGGAUCUCGACUUAGGCCCCUCAAGAUCAAGUUAGUGGAAUUCUAUUGUCCCAAGUGUCCCUUGUCAUAUGUUGGCAAGGGGUUUUUACCAUAGUGCCCGAGGGUCGGCCGUAUGCGGCCUUCGCGUGGCGGCUGACUCCCCGAGAGGCGAGUGUACCUUCGAACGUUCGUCGCCCAGGAUAUGUGGAAUGGCGUCACGUGGUGCCGUUCCGAGCUUCCCAAAGCGGUCCUUGUUGGGGCAACGCUGGUUGGUGCGGCCCCAGACGGCGCGGGAGGUGAACAACCGCCAUCCUGGAUUUCUGGUGACGCAUCCGACGUGGCGCUGCGUUUGCCUCCCGAGGCUCCGCACUUGGGCUGAUGUGGUGGGGGUCGUGUCCACUUGUCAGAAUCCAUAAUAUGCCCUAUCAGGUAUUGUGAAUUGUGAUGCUCUGUUCAUAAUCCUGCUUAUAAUGCAAAUGGUCCUCAUGCAUUUAAUAUAGAAAUAUUCCUUAAUUUUUUGUUCAAGCAUGGAAAUUACUGAAUCCUGGCACAUGUUUUUUUUCAUAUACGUGGAUCCUAUUUGUGACUAGUGAUUUACAUGACACAAUAAAGAUACCUUUCUUAGUGGUGAUCUCAAUACAGGACAAUGUUUUUCUGUUCUAUAUAAAGCAAGGAGGAUGAAUGAAAUAGUUUUACCUUUCAGAGAGUUUUACUUGUUGAACUAGGCACAAGAGAAUCAGUUGUUGGUGCAUCCAUGUCACUUAUCUCCUAUCUCCAGGGUGAAAGACUCUGAACAUCCCUGGAUUGUCUUAGAUACCAUUGAAAUUUAAAAUGAUUUCAGUAAAAAGCUUUCUAGAUUUUAAUAUUGGGCACAUUCUCGGGGAGGCCGAUAAGACUGCUGACUGGACGAGUAAUUUAAUUGGGUUUUUUUUCCCCCUUUUUGAGCUCCAACAUUUCAAUAACUUUUGUAAGUAGUUGGGUGAAUUAAAUUUUAAUUUGUUUUAAAGGAUUAGUGGAACAUGCCUAAAAAUCUGUUAGGUCUCCUUCUUGUGGGUAGGACCUGGCAUUUCUCUUGUGAAAGCUGACAACUGCUUUUCAGAGUCUUCUUGACUGGAUUGCCUAUAUCCAGCAAGGUUGCCACCUAGCCUUCUGUUAAUUUCUUCUCUUUGUCUGAUUGAACUAUUAUUAAACACUUCUUGCUGCGCUUUAUUUUGUAAACAAACUUUCUCACUUUCUUCUUUUUGUGUUCAUGGUGCUUGAUGACUAAUGUUGUCCGUGAAAUUGUGUUCCAAGCUUUUACUUGUUCAAUUUCUAGAAACAUUCAAAAACUAAUGUUCUUUUAUUGUGGCAAUCUGAACUGGUAUUUUGUGGUAUUUGUCUUGUUUAAUUGGAGGAGAAAAAGAGAAAGCAAACUAGCGACUUCCAAAAUUAUUAAACUUAACUACAUGGUUCGUCUUCACCACUUUAUUCUGUUAAAUUGCUAAAAAUAGGUAGUUCUAAUUAAAUAAUAUAAAAAGUAGCUUGGUUCAUGAGGCUACUAUCAUUGUGAAGUCUGAAAAAGAGCCAAUGUACACAACCUUACCCCUACAAGUAGAGAGUUUGUUCCUAUGAUUUACCCUACUUACCUAAGUUGUAUAUCAACAUUCUUACCAUAAUACCAAAGCUUACCUUACUGUCAUAUGAUAUGCAUAAUUACAAUUGAUGCUUCUCCUCCUUAAACACCAAAUGUGAUUGAUCAAAUGACAUUGUUGAAUUCUUCAGAUGAUUAUGAUGGAAGUGCACACACCCAACCCUGAUUUCUGAACCAUCUCCUUAAUGCAAUCCAAGACUGCCACAAAUCCAGUUGAACAUUGUACAGUUAACAUUAGGUUUUGAUACCUGUGAGGUUGUUGUAUUGGAAAGAAAGGUUACCAUAGCCGUGAUGUUCCAGUUUGUUCCCUGUUGGCUUGGUGUUGUGGCCUAUUUAGUUCAAGAUGAUUGGAUGCAUUUGCUUUCUCCGCAAUGCCGAAACCAUAUGAAAUAGCUGAGUCUCUAUUGUCACCAUUGUCUACCCUUUUUUCAUAAACCUGUAGAAGAUUGAGUGCUUAGUUUGUGCAAGACAAAUUAAUUUUUGUUAUUCCACAAGAUUGUUGAUGGAGUUUUUAGAUUGAGUGUGUAUGUCUACCAGCUUUCUAAUUAAUGUACCUUCUUAUGUAGUUCCAUAUGUUCUUGAUCAAGGAGGUUUACCUUCAUGUGGAGCUCCAUAUUCUCUUGGUAGAUGAGGUUCCCCUGUAAGGUUUCCAUUGAAUAAAUAGUUAAGCAUCUUAGCUGCAAUCUGAACUUAAACAGAGAAGGAUGGGUUUUAAUUUCUGCACAACCUUCCAUUUGAGCUCCUGAAUUUUGUCCGUCAAAAGUUGAUCCUGCAGAACAGAAAUUUACAGCAUUAGGAAUGCCGAAAGAAAAGAGACAUUUAAUGUUGCAAAGACUACUGACCUUCUUUGUUCGGAUACCAUGUAGACUCAUUUCUAGUUGGUUCUCUAAAUCAUGUAAAUCUUUGAUGCUCAGGCCAGAAAGCUCUUCUCCCAUCAACUGCCUGCAAUAGUUGGUUUAGAUGUAAUAUGUGCUCUUCCAUUAGAGUUACUUUUUCCCAUUAUGUAUAAAUGAUCAUUGACAAAGUCUAUUCAGGCUACUCAUUGUAGCAUUUUGACACUACUCCAUUGCAUAUCUGAUUUUGGUUGUUUGAUCCAUAGGCUUGACUCUUAUUCUCCUCAUUUCCUAGGUUGAUGACUGUUCCUUUCAUGAAUGUCUUGUAUAUAUUUUAUGAAUGGAUCAUAUCAUUUACAAUUCUUCUUCUCGUGAUAAAAUUUAUGUGUUUGGAUAUUUUGUGCAAUCGAAGAGCUGAUUUGCACUCUCAUCAGUCUGUUAUCGUUAACAGAAUUUUACUACAGGAAUUUUGAUUACCUAGGCAACUUAAUUCUAGAUAGCUUAAGAUUAUGACAUUCGUAACACAUCUUGAUCUGGAACUCUUCUUCAGUUCAGGGCACCCUUCAAUGGCAUUCUUGCAUAGAGGUUUAUUGUUUGGCUUUUUGUUAUAAAAUUUAAGAUUUUAUGGUCCAAUUGCUGCUUAUGUAAUUUAAGAUUGUGUCGAUGCAGUUCCAACUUUUUAAUUGAUGUCAUUUGAAGCAAGGUUCGCAAUUUCGUACCAUACCAAAGUAUCGAGCUUAGCUCGAUACAAUACGGUAUGAGCGUACCGAGCGAUAUGCUCUGGCAUACCGAUAUAUAUAUAUAUAUAUAUAUAUAUACAAGGUCUACCAUAUCGAAUCGUACCGCCCGGUAUGGGCGGUACGUACCGGUCCGACAGGCCAGCGGUACGCAGACCACCCAGUAUCGGUCUGCACUGUAGCAGUGAAAUGCAGCACUGUAGCAAUGCACUGCACUGUUACAGUAGCAAUACAGUGCACCAGUACACUGUUGCACUGUAGCAGUGCAACAGUGCUCGGUGCACCUGAGUGUACCGCUUGGUACACCUGGGUGUACCGCUCGGUACACCGUACCGUACCGGUACCGAGCCCAGGUCGAAAUACCGGUACGGUACGGUAUUGCGAACCUUGNNNNNNNNNNNNNNNNNNNNAUAUAUAUAUAUAUAUAUAUAUAUAUAUAUAUAAUAAUAAUAAUAAUAAUAAAAUUAAAAAAAGGUCAAAAUCGUUGAGCCGACAUCGCCUCGUUUCUUCGGCCCGCGUGGGGAGAAGAAACCUCGUUUUCUUCUCCCUGUGAAGCCUCUUCCUCUCCCUGCGUGGCUAAAGAGAAGUCGCCGAUGACGCCGAGGCCUCGUCGCCUCAAACGAGGAGGCGACAUCUCAUCUUCGACGUCCGAUGAGGGAGGGCGGUGACAGAUCGGGAUCAUCGAGGGAGAGCAGCAUCGGAUCUCCAGGUUCUCCCUUUUUUUUCUCCCUCUUCUUCCUUCUCCGUCAGUUAAUAUCUCCCGGUAACGGGCGAUGACGGUCAAAAUCGACCGUCACCGACCGAUUUCGAGUGAUAACGGGGUGGGAAUAGCUCCAAUCGACGGUAUUGCCCGGUAGCGGGGGGUCCGCGUGCCGGUCUGCUGGUGGACCGGUACGUACCACCCGAUACGGGCGAUAUCAUUCGAAAUUAAAAUCCUUGAUUUGAAGAUCACAUACCUAAAAAUACGACUUUGAUGUCUACACUAAGGUGUGUAUUGAAAGUUUGUCAAACCAAUGUGGCACUAAUAUAUCGUUAUGUAUUUGAUCUAUGAUGCUUAAAAUCACUGAAAAAAAAAAAGACUGGUGUACUGAAUGUUACUAGAUAGUAUGGCCUGUUACUGGUGCUUGGUUGGACAAACCAAAAUUGGGUGGACCGAUACAGAUCAACCAGUAAUUAAAGCUUAUAUUUAGUGUCAAGAGGAAUGUUUCUUUAUAUGGGUAAUUCCAUAUAUCCAAUUGUUAUUUCCUGAUAAUCAGAUAGCUAAGUCUAAUUUUAAGUUGGAUAUUGACAUUAAGAUCAUCAACAACUAGAACUAAGAGGGAUGAUUUUUUACUUUGACCAGAUGUCUUUACCAAGUUUGAAAAAUCAUUUAUAUCCUCAAAGAACUUCUGGUAGUUGUCGUUUCUUAGCAUGCGACUUGAUAACUUUAUUUACUUAUAGUGUUGAUCUAUUCUCAUUAGUGUAAAACCUCCUUUUAGUAAACACUGCUCAUCAGUUUUCUGAGUAGAUUUUUGAGUUCUACACGAGAGCAGAUUUCUGAGUACUACAUGAGAGCAGUGUUUAAUAAAAGGAGAAUUCUUCUAGAGUGCUCCUAUUUCUCCAGAUUUCUGAGUAUUACAUGGACAAUUCUUCUCCUUAUUUUGACAUUUGUCAAUUCUCUAAGCAACAAGGGCACCUUCAAUGUUGCUAUUAGUACAGGAAAGCAAUAAGUAGCAUAUGCAGCUAUUAGCAGGUGUGAAGAGUUACAGAAGGAAAAGUGGAACAUGGGUUUUUGUUUUCAGUUUUUUUUCUAAAAAGUAAUGGCAUGGAAAUGGUUCCUUUUCGUUCUGUCAAUAAUUCUAGAGAAACAAAAGUAACCACUUUGCUUGGGUACAUCCAAUGACCUUAUUGAUCCUUUCUUCUAGUGUUUAGGACAAUGGUCUGUUAGGAAUAAGUUUGAAUGUUACCAAAUGAAAUUCCUUAGCUUUUAGUUGACAUGUUUAUGAAAAACACAAAGCAAAAGCUAUGUGACAUAAUUGUUCCCUUUUUUUGUGUAACAUGUAGUACUACAAUCAACAUAUUAAUUCAGUAGGAACUUGCAUAAGUCAUAGAGAUCAACCUCUUAAUUACUUUUAACAAGUUCAUUCUAGCAUAUAAAAACUGUUAACUAGAAAAAUUUCAUAGUGGAAAACAUACAGUAAUAGUUCAAGAAGCUACUAUGAGGUGGAUGUGCCAUCAAAAGGUGAAAAAACACACUGCAGCUAACUAUCUGAUGGCUUUAGUAUGUAAGUCACCUAUUUUGUGAACAAAAGGAACAUUAUAUCAGUUAGGAGCUUGACAACAAAAAAGUUAUUUGGUCUCCAGGUAAUGAAAUGCAUUUGAAAAUUAUGACUGAAAAUUUGACCAGAAACAAUAGAGGAUUGGCAAAUAGAUCUAAUGCAAAACCAUCAGAACUAUGUUGCAACUAGUCUAAAGGCAACUGUGGAAAACAGGCAAGCAGAAAAAUAUCGUUACAUGACAAAGUAUCCAUGUCUAAUAACUUGCUAUCUCAAUACAAUUUAUGAUAACAAAGAUAAAAGUUUAUUAACUUGUGAUAAAGAUUGCAGGAAUGCAUACUGGAAAGUUGCUUUUUUGUGUGUAGUUCUAAACAGUUUUUGACUAUAGUUCGUAUUUUUGCACAACUCAUGCUGUAAAAAGUGAAUUACGGCUAUGUAUAUUCUUUGGCCUAUUACUUUCCAUUCUUCAGCUCUCCUAGAGUCUUAAAUGCAUGUCUCCCUAUAGCUUUUAUGAUUUUCUCUCAUAUAUUCUCUUUUGCAUACAUCCUUGUGCAUGCAACUAUUUCUUAUUGCCCUAUAUUUGGUGCUAGAGCAUCACUUAUUUCUUGUCGUGAGUUGGAAAAGUUGCUAUCUGGAGAUAGUGGUUUGAUCUAAGCUGCCUUCUUUAACUGUUAAAGAAUCAAAGUUGUUCAUGCUAUUUGAUGAUUUUUGUACUGUUUAAAACGUGUAUGAUUAUUCCUAGGACUUGGAUGCAUUAGUGAAGUGGAACCUCAUUCUACUGUAUUGUAUUGUGUGAAUUUCAGUAUUGUAUGUUGAUUUCUUUCCUUUGGUAAAUGUUGGUUGUAAAUGUUUUGGUACCAGCUGCUUCAGCUUAAACUUUCCUUUUGUCUGAUUUUUAUUUUUUGCUGUUGCCCAAUUAGCAUCUGACAAUAAUCUGAUGAUCUUUAGAGGGGAAAUUUAUGUAGAAUUUAAAAUUCUAGUUUUUUAUUCAAGCCAUUGAUGUUGCUAAAAUCCUGUUUUCCAAGCUUUUCUUUAGUUGGUGAAUUUGAAAGUUUCUUAGGGAGACAGAGAAAUGGUAAACACAUGUUAUUGCCAUCUUGUGUUGAAGCUUAAAUGAUUUGAAAAGAUUGUUGUUAUGUUUCCUGUUUAUUUGUUGGUUUAUUGAUCUAUUAGUGGAUGUGGUGGGCUAGUGCACUUGUGUUGACCCUAUAAAGCUGGACAUACAUGAAUCAUGUACUUCAUAAGAAAAUACUGAUGAUAUUAGACUUCUUUGGUCAUGAUAUCCUCAUCUUUACAGAUCUAAAGGAGACCAAUAAAUGUGAUCAGAAUUACCAUUCAUGUUGCUAGAGAAGUUUUUCUUCUUGUUUAAAGUAAUUGAAUUUUUGGCUAACAAUGCUUUCAUUUGGAUGUGUGAAGGGCAAAAUGAGCAUACCUAUGAUUUUCUUGCAAGUUAUGCAGUUGUUGCCUCAAGCUUGCUACCUCCAUUUGCCAAAACUUGUAAGUACAAAGCACAAAAGUCAAUCCAUGUCAGAAGUGGAUUGGAUUUGCUAUAUCUAUUUGACUACAGUUUGCAAACUUCAAAUAUAUACAGUGAUGUGAAUUAGAAUCUCAAAUAUGAUGGUAAAUGUUGCAUAUAACUCUUAACUACUCAUACAGUAAAGGAUUGAAGUACUUGUUCUAGAACUGUCGACAUAUAUAGUUUAGAUUUUAGACAGUAUUCUUUCUGAGUAAUUCUUCUAAAUUUAUUACUUGAACUCAUGUUUUAUACUUUUUUAAGUCAUUGCUACCUUACGAAUUGUUCUGUGUUUCAACUAUCAUGCUUAAUCUAACUUUGAUUGCAUGAAUACAGACCCAGGGCAUUUCUUCAAGAUUACAGUUAAAUAACUGUGUAUAUAAGUUGUUUUCCAUACCCAAUAAAUAACUUAUUUCCUUCUUAGUUAAAUGACCAUAACUUUCUAAAUUAAUUAUUGUAAUGAUGGGUGGGGUGGGUUUGUGAUCUCAGCAGUUAUUAGUUAUGCUAAAUUUUCUUUUUAACAUUGGUUUUCCAAAUCUUAAGGACUCACCAUAAAUGAUCUUGAACAAUAUUUAUAACAAAGCUGAAAGGAUCAAGCUACUAAAAAUGAAGAAUCUGAUGGCUCUCUGAUUAACAAGGUAUUUGUUGGGUGACUUGAAAGGACCAUCUCCUAUUUCUGGGAUACAAUUAUUGAGCUAAAUUUUCAGGGUUACUUACAUAUGGUACCCACAAUUUGGAUUAAUUCACUUUUCAGUCCUCUCUUAAGAACCUGACACCACUAAUUUAAAUUUAUUACAUUUAAGACCUUAUGUUAUUCAGAUGUCAACAGAAUGAAUGUUUAAAGAAUCUGAUGGGCUUUUAUUAUUUCUUUAGCCUUUUCCAGUAUGUUUACGAACUAUUUUCUUAUUUUUAAUUUAAAAUAGAAAGGAAUAUUAACUGAACAAAUAAAGAAAGUUAAUCAAGUAAAAGUUGUAUAUCUCUGUUAAUUACAUUUAUGUUUAAAUUAAAAGAUAAUAAUAUCAUUUCAUGUAUCAAUAAUCAUGAGUAUAUGUUGGUCGAAUAUGUCAAACAACUAACAAAAUUAAAUGAUACUGGUUCAAAUAUAAUAAAUAUUGGAUAAAAUGAUGAUGUUGUUUAUAUAUAUAUAUAUAUAUAUAUAUAUUGUGAUUAGGCAUGGAUAAGUACAAUAUGUGAUGGAACCUAUAUGUAAUUAAUCUAAAAUUUUACUUUUGUUUUCUUGACAAAUUUAUUAUCUGGCUUUACCUUAUGCCCAUAUGAAAAGAAAAUUUAUGCAGAACUCCAGACAUUGGAUUGCAGGCUGAAGAUACCAAUUGGCACUCAUUGUCUUCCUCAGCCGAAGUCUAUUUCUCUUGCCUUUCCAGAUUAGACAGUGUUUCAUAAUUGAUUGUAUCUUUAAAAUUCAGCAUUGUUAAUUACUGACAUUUAGUUCUCCUUAUUAUCUAUAGGUGUUUUUUAACCCCUCCUUGAGAAGUCAAUUUCAUGAUUGGUGGUCUUAACUGCUAGCUGUUGACUAAAGAGACCGGGAGAUUUGCUUAUUGGCCACCGGAGAGAUGAAUGCUAGUGUAGCCUAUUCAACCAAGAAAGGUAGCUAUUUCAGUAGCUAUUCAAAUACUUUUCGCUCAAACAAUGAGAUCAGUAGCUAUUUCUGUUAUUACAAAAGGAAAGAAAAAGACCCAAUAAUCGUGUAUUUCAUUAUAUCUCCGGGUGAAAAUUUUUAGAGAGAAAUUAGCCAGUUAAUUAAUCGAAAUAUUGAUGUGCCUGGUGCUAUGGAUCAGUAGAAAAAGCUAGCGAUGAAGAUCUUCAGUGAAGCCACUAUGUUUAUUUCAGAACACGAAUUGUUGUACAAGUUGAUUCUACCUUUAUAUCCCUUAAUUUACUCACAAGGCUUUCAAUUUGCAACAUCUAAGAAACCUAUAAAUAUUGCUUAUCGAUAAAAGAUGAUUGUUCUACAAGUUGAUUACCAUUAUAACCCUUAAUAUGCUCACAAGCUUUCGAUUUGAAACAUUAUAUGAAAACCUAUAAAUUUUCCAUGUUUUCAUAUAAAAUUUCAUAUAAAGAAAUUUUAUAUGAAAACAUUAUAUGACAUUCUCGUCAAGAUAUGGUCCCAAUUAAGAUGGCUCUAUAAAAUAAUUAAUCCAUCAACUUCAUUAAGUCUAAUCUAUUAAUUCAAUAUGCUUAAGCUAGUUGAAAUCUUCCAACAAUUUUGAUGUGGAACGAAAGCAUAGGUUUAUAAGUUCGUUUAUAAGAGCUUGAUGGGUGUAUUAUUAUUAUUUUUAUUUAAACAUUUUAAGUCACUGGAUUAAGGUUAGAGUAAGAAUGAUAUAACUAUCCCGUUAUCGGUACCUUAAGUUUCACAACCAUGCUUACGAAAUUAGGAUUGUAAAUUUAAGCCCUAUGAGUAUUUUAAGAUAAAUAUUUCAUAUUUUUCAGAUAAGGAGCUGUAUAUUUUAAUUUUUUACCCAUGUUUUCUUUUGCCCCUUCUCUCCCUUCAUUAUAUUUUUGCAUUGACCUAAGGACUACAUUAGCAUGAAAAUUUUGAUUAGAAAUAAUAAUAAAUAAGACAUCCAUAAUUUUUAUUCUAACUUAAUUAAUUAACCACUUUAUUUUUUUAACAUGUAUUCAUCCCAUCCUCGAACAACCAAUAUCUUAAUCCAUAUUUAAGUGUAUCAAAAAAAAUAAAAAAAAAAGUCAAUUUGUUGUCAUGUAGGUAAGGAAUCCAUAAAUUUUACUAUACUCCAAUAAAAGACUAACUAAUUAUUUGGAUACCAAACCAUCUCAAACCCAACUCAAUGUGUAUUUUUUUCUGCCAAUACUAUCCCAAAUUAAGUUAAUGGGUAUUCUAAUCUAGCCUAGAUAUGCAAUAGCUGUAAGUAUCAACCCUAGAUUGGGUGCCUAUUGAGAGCUCAUGACAUCAACCUCAAUAAAUCGUUAUACCAUGGAAUAUGAUAAGACCAACAUAUAAAUUGAUGAUGAGUCGAAAAGACAAGUAGUGGAUCGAAUGAUACACUUGGCAUGUGUAGUCAUCAUCCGAGACUCUCGAGAUAUGAGGUUAAGGAUGUAUUAUUUUUUAAAAUAUGAUUUUGAUUCAUUAUAUUUAAUGACACACAAGAAACUCUCAUGCUGUCUCAAUAGAAAAGGUUUAAGAUGUUAGAUCUAAAGCCUAUGAUUUCAAAGAUCUUUCAUUAGUAAUGGCAUGGUUGAGGAAAGCAGUAUCAUCAACAACCUAAUUAAUUAAUGGCAGGAUCAACAUGGAGAGCUUCUUCAUGAAUGUUCAGGUAGCUUGCAACAAAAAAGAGUCAAUCAAGUGUUAAACACGAAGAGAAAUCUUGCACCGAAUUCGAUAGAAUCCAAAUAUGAAAAGCUAAAUGGAAACAUCUAUUAAACGUCUGAUGAUGAAGAAAUCAUGGUCGAAGAUGUUGAGACCGAAGACAUGAUCAUGACUCAAGAUCAACUUCAUGAGGAGGGAACGGAUCAAGCCUUGUGUCCGAAGACUAAGUACAAGUAUGAUCAUACAUUCUUAAGUGAAAAGCCAAUGAAAUCUAUUCUUUUGAACAAUUUAAAGAGCAUAUGAUGCAAUUAAGAUACAUUGCCAAUUUGUUUGUAGUUUAUGUGUGUGUCUUCAUCAUCAAGUUGAAGCUUCGGUGACUGAUCAAGCUGGUGGACGUAUCUACAUGAAUCUCAAGAUUCUCAUAGUGGAAUUGAUUGAUUCUGAUGAUAUUUGAGUCUCACCUGAAACUUAUAGUGAUGAGUUUCUUAGAUCAUCUCUACCUAACCUUAAAAAAAAAAAAAAAAACCAGAUUGAUCGAGAUGAAAUUUUUUUUUCUUAUUUGAUAAAUUUUAGACUUCAAUUGCAAAUUGAUCACUAUCUUUAAGUGUUAGUUUUUUAUAGUGCAGCCUAAUUUCAAGAAUGGAGAGAACUAUGAUGCUGCAAAAGAGAAGGUCUAAGCUCAGACCUAUGUUCUUGGGGAGGGAAACCAAGAUCAAGAGUUAUAUCUUCUCUAAAUUGUGUUAGAUGUGAAAGAACAACACAUCAUUCAUUUGUAAUUUCCUAUAGAGAAAGAAGAUUGGAGCUAAUAAUGUUGAAAGGAGAUAGAUACAAAGAGAAGGCCCUAACUAUGAUGAACUCAAAGAAGCAACUGAUUCGAUGUGUCAAGACCUGUCAAGAACAUAAUCAAUAGUUACGCAGCACCUUCUCUAAAGACUACUGCUUCUCCAAUGUAAGUUUGUAAAGCAUUGUUUCGAAGUAAUUGAAUCAAAGAAAUUGAUAACGGAAGGAUAUCAUGAACACGAUAUGAUACGAAGAAGAUGCUUACCAUAAUCAAAUUCUGCAAAAUACCAAGAUUCUCGAUGGAUGAUUGCAAUAAAAUCCU